GGUUCCUCUCCAAAUUUUCACUUCCUUUACCAUCCAAUCUUGCUUCCGUUCCUGCUGAUAGUUCUUGUAUUUGAAUCAUUGAAAUAAUUCUUUUAUUGACAUAAAAGUAUUCUAAGUUUAUAGCAUCUGACAAACUGUCAAAAUUAUCCAUGGAAACUUCUAAUUAUGUAGAAUAUGAGCCUUGUUGCAAUGGUAAGGUCGCUCCAUUGUAAGCUGGAGUCAUGGAUUCGAAAUAUGAAAACAGCCUCUCCACACGGUUAGUCAAUGUAUAUCCAACCCUCCCAAGAUCCCGCAAUAGCAGGAGUCUCAUGCACCGGGCUGCCCUUUUUUUCUAAUCUUAUCUCGAAUACAGUAUCAGCGAUGGAGAUGCAACUCUGCCUCUUGGGCAACACACUCCCCCCCCCCCCACCCGGUAGAACCCUUACUUUCGUACCUUUCCAAGAAUCAGUCCAUCUUUGUCUUUUUGUUUAUUUUAGUUCCCUUUAUGAGAGCAGGUCCUUUCUCCCUAUCUUCCUUGAAAAACUGCCUCUUACUCCUAUACUGCAAACAAGAUAAUAGCUAUGUUAUGGUACUUAUUUGAUCCUUAAACCAAAAAGUACAAAUACCCUCUCUUUCUAGAUUUACCCAGCUUUUCUUUCUAUUUUUUUUGGGGGGGUGUGUUUGAGCCUGUAAGAAGGGCAAGUAUGCUACCCAUCAUUAUGAACCAAGAUGAUACAAAUGAUGGAUGGUAUCAUUAAGAGAUACAAUACAUAUCCUUAGAAUCUAGCAGAACCAUCAGUUCUCAGAUUACAAGUUUGAAGAAAGAAAAGAACAAAACUUUGGCUUUCAUUUGUUGCUUCAAAGUAUUGCAGGUUUAUCCUUUUUAGAAAAAACUAUAGCAAAAAACAGCACCCAUUUCCCUACCCAAGCAGACUCAUCCCUCCUUUUUCAAAAAGUUUUACAAAAGGCACAACACAACAUAAGCUGUACCAGUUGAAGAAGUGUUCUCACAAAAGCUUAUUGAACUUAACGAUAACAUCUAGAAAAGAAAAUAAAAAGAAGCCUUCAUCUGCUACUAUGACACACUUAUAGGAGAUAAGAUAGACAUUCUUACCGGUACGCAUGGCAGCAGGCUUUGUUAUACAGUGCUGCUUGAGCUUCAAUAGGUUUUGGAUUCAAAGAAAGUGCAUUUUCAAACUGUGUGAGAGCAUCCUUUACCUAUUACAUUCACAAACAUGGGAUCUCAAAAAAAUGUUGGAUAUAUGAAAACCAAAUGCAGUUACAUAAUUUGCUCACAUAAGAUGUCGAUUAUUCAGGGAUCUAGUCAAUGAAAGAAAGGCAUAAGCUUAAUGCAUUUCACUAAUGUUGAUCAAACAACUGAAUAUUGGUGAAGAACAGUUGGAUGUUUGCUUCUUGUUACUUUAAUCAUUGAGGCCCUUUGUUCUACCAAUGCACGGAGGUGACAAUAUCCUCCCUUGGUACUCUUCUUAAAUAGUCUUGUCCUCACAAACUGCAAUCAUGAGACAACUAACGUGCUCCUCAUUUCAUCUCAUGUGCCUUGUCAUUUCUUGGCUAAAUCCAAUCCCUUGUCCAUCUAUUUCUUCAACACUAGUCCCUUCAUGAUUCUUAAAAAGUGCACAUCAUAUCGGUUUUUAUCUUCUCCCCUUAAGGGUGUCUAUGCACUUUAAAAUGCACCUUUUUUCCUUUGCCUUUUGAUGAACAGGCUAAGCUUCCACUCAAGCUACUAAUGGAUCAUGUCAAUUAGCAAUUCCUAAUAUAUAGUUUAUCAUUGUUACAUUAUCUUUGGUCCAAACUUCUUCCAUAUCUCAAGCUAUGUCACCUUCUCCAAGGGAGUGGCCUUCCAUUAAAUUUUUCGUUCAGUAUCUAUUCUUCAUUAAGUCCCCAAACUCCUUCCCUUUAGGUAUGGUUCCAUUCACUAUGAUACCUUUGAUCAUAAUCCCAAUGAAUGUCAUCAUCUCCAAGGUAGUAUCCUACCACACAAACUUUGUCUAGCAUCUAACUUUCAAUGAAGUUCCCCAGCUUCCUAAUUUUUUCUUGUGGCCCCAUCCGUCCUCUCAUAACCCUUUCCCCUUUUCUAUCCUUCCAGUUUUGGUCCUAUUUUAUCAUUUCUUUUGUCCUAGGCCUAAGGUGUCCCUGUAUUCCUCCAAGCUUCCCAGUACAGAGGAUUAGUAAACAAUCCUUCUUCUACUCCCAUGACAAAUCUCUCCAGCUACAUGCCCCAGGUUACCAGGAUUUUGGUAUUUGCCCUGCAAACAAACCACAUCAUCAUCCUUAGGAACAGAUGCAACAAGCCCUACUCAUUAUAAUUGGCAUAAUCCUCUCUCUUACUCUACACAAGUACAAAAUAUCUUUGCAAUUUUAAGAGUCCAUAAGAAACUUCAUUCUUAUAAAAAGGUAGUUAAACAUCCAUAUUUAAAGGUAUCCAUGGAUACGAAGAUUCAAGUGCUCCAGCAUAUCACACUAUGAUCAUGCGCCCCCCCCACCCCAAAAUUCUCCACUCAUCAGUUGUCAAUCGAUGAACUCAAAUGGUUGGUUGGGCUAAUUACCCAAGAUUUUAUUAUAGAACAAUAUCAAAUUUAUUGCAGCAUUUGAAUGACUGAUCAUUUGGAGAAUGUGAUCAUUUGUUAGCUUGAUUAUCAUUAAUCAUUAGUGUUGUUCAAGACUGACCACACAAUACAAAAUUGUUCAUUGGCAUAUUACAUAUUCGGAACCAAUGUCCUGCAUGAGUUACCGUAAUUCAUAUUAGCAAUUGCUCCUCAAGCUUCCCAAAUUUUUUAUUUGAAACAUAAAAAAAACCUUUACGAUAAUACUGAUCAUGAGUUUGACUCCAAAUUUGUAACUAUCAUUUCCACUCCAAAAUUCAGGAAAGUUGCAUGACCAAAUCAGCUGAAAUAAUAGUGGAUCAUGCAGCCUAACUUCCAGAAGCCGUAAGUUUCUAAACAUGCAAAGGAAUUGCUGCUAUCAUUUGCCACAAUAAAGCUCUCUAGAUCUAGAAUUCAUCCAGAUUCGAACCCUUUUGAGAUUCAAAAAAUGGUUUGCCACUGCCAAUACUCAGAGUGGCAACCACAAGCAGGAAAGCACCGAUCUUUUUAACUGAUUAAAAUUUCUAGAAUCUCCCUAUAGCUACAGUGUCUGGCGCAGAAGAUUUCCAACCAUACCCAACUGCUAUUUUAGUCUAAUCUUAUAAAAUGGAACGUUAAACAUUCUGAUGAGAUGAGAAUCAAAUCGAGGGAUGAGUUAAUGGUCUUACCCUUCCUUUAGAGAAGAGGGAGAGGCCCAAGUUGACACAGGACUCGGCAGUCUGAGUGCUGGUCUCCGAGGAGGGAGACGGCGGAGAGGAGGAGGAGGAGGAGGCCACGAGGACGAGACGACUCUUUUGGAAUCUGAGACGAGUUCUUUGGGAGGAGAAGGCUCGUGACCUUGGGCAGCAAAGUAGCUGCUGGUGGAGACCAGCAGCGGCCAGCGCCAUUGGAGAGAGAGGAUCAAAAAAAAAAAAAAGGAGGCACUUUUGGUGGUAAGAACGCGAGCCGCUGCUUAUUCCUCUGGAUAAGUCUCCCGUUAUCCGGAAACAUUACAAGCUUGUUUUGUACCACCACGUGAUCAAAUUCCCGUCAGCCGUUUGGUCCCUUCGAUCCGUGGUACUAAUUCCACUCUCCACCCGUCCAAUUAGCUUACGUAGGGAAUGUGAAAUUUGUGACGGCUAGUUUAGCUGCGGAACAUGUACAUCAACCAGCUUACUUAAUCAUACGACCAGCAACCAUCAAAAAUUCAAUUUCAGGAGACCAUGAAAAAGUAUUAUUUACGGUGGGGAUAGCUUUGGUUCAGGUUAGCCAGAAUCAACACUAAUAAAUCUUUGAUCCAUAUCCAAUUCAUUUAUCAUCAAAUUGAAAGCAAAAAUAUAAAUUCAUACGCAAUCCAUUUAUCUUAUGGACCUAUAUCCAACCUGCCAACUCAAUUAACACGUUACUUGUUAAUAAUAUAUCUUAAUAAACGAAAAUAAAAUAUAAUAGAAGAGAGGAAUUCACAAUCAGCAUCAAAUUAAGCAUACUAUUCUCUUCACUAUUCUAUUCAAUAUUUUCUUACUUUUUGUUAGCAUUGAUUAUACCGCCAGCUCAAUUAACACGUUAAUUAUAUAUCUUAAUGAAUGAAAAUAACAUAUGAUAGAAAAGAGGGCUUUAGAGUUGAUAUUAAAUUAAGGCAAGAAAGUAAGCUAAAGAAACCAAAUGGAAUAGAGAAUAUGAUUUAACUUUUCUUUUCAAUAUUUUUCUUACUUCUUUUUUUUUUUAUAUCUAUCAUACAUUCUUCCAAAUCAUCAAACCCUCGACUAGCUUUCCUGGAAAUUCAAAAGUAGAUUUCUAGUGCUCCUUCAUUUCUCAUGGUGACUCAUUGGAUCAGAAGGCCAAAUUCAUUCCCAAACCGCUUAUGAUCGGAUUUGUCUCAGCUCCCCAUUAUAAAGGACACUCGUUCAAACACAUUUAUUUCAGAUGGGUUUAGGUGGGUUGGCAUAUCCAUGUAAAAAAUUUGCUAUACCUAGUCAGAUUACCACCUGAAUCACACCAUGCUUGUUCCAAGCCUACAGAAUUGGAAAAUUGCAGGCAGAAAGCAACCAAAAUCUACAUUAACAUGCUCCUGCUGCAGCACACGACAUUUCUAUUUCAAGUGGAUCUAGCAAAUUGUUGCAGCAAACCGGCGUGUCUGUAUCGUGCAUGUUGCUUGGCGUGUUUGGAAGCUUCUAGAGUGAAUCUUAAAUUGUCAAGCUUCUAUGUUUGGAAGCUUCCAAUAUUGUUCAUGAAACCAGAGCAGGUUGGAGAACCCCUCUGAUGCAGAACAUUUUGGCUUCUCCCCAAUAUCAUAAUCAGCCUUAUGGAUGGAACUGACCCUUUGAAUUUCUGAGUACCUGCUACAGUCAGCUCUCACUUGCAACCCAACUCUGGAAUCGGUUUCAAAUGCUUCAGCGGUUAAACGCUUCAUAUCACACUAAUGCAACCAUAAGUGGAAAAGCAGCAAUGAGAAAUGUUAAAAUAUUAAGGAUCCUAAACAAUGGUUUGAUGCAUGGACGUUGCAUUUAUCUCGGUCAUAAUUAUAAGAAGAAGAACAACACUGAAAAUCAAUAAUAUUGUAUGCUUUAAGGGAAAAACAAAAUUGUGACUUAGCCAGGGUCUCAACAACUUAUUCCAACAAGAAGAAAACAAUGGCCUGAAAAAAUUCUCAUCAUCAUUAUCACCUGAAUGCAACCUAGUCAACUAUGCCCGAUUGAAGGGAGAAAGAAAUUUGACAGAUCCAUAACCAAUCAGACAUCCAAAUUUGGGAGCUCUGCAAAGUUAGAAUGCCGCUGCCAACGAACAUGGCAUCACUUUAUCCCAUGGAAGGAAGGCAAGACAGCAACAAGUGGGUCUCCAUAACCAACCGCUUCUGCAAGUUAGAGAAAUGUGAGGAGGAAAAUAAACAAAUAAAUAACAAGGUCAAUAAUUCUGAAAUGAGCCUAGCAGCAGAAUUCAGAAAGAAAAAUAAUCAAAUAAGGCCACAUUUAUGGUUUUAGUUUGAGCAACAGAUGCCAAUAAACAGGAUGAAGAACAGAUGAAGAGCAAAACUUCGUGUCUGUUACAUGUAACUCACAUCCUUCAAGCCCGUAAUGUGCUCCCCAUCUGUGUUGCAGGAUAUCAUUCGAAACACCACAUCUCCCAGAAAAUAAUAAGCAUGCUAUGCAGAUGAGCACAAAUUUACAAUUAAAUCAUCUAUUAUGGGACAGAAAAACAAGCAAAGGCAAACAGCUGAAGGGGCAUUUUGCCGAUGAAAUAUCAAAUAUCAUUUUCUAACAUGGUUCUCUAAACCACAAAAAGUUGUGGGAGGGUGAUCUACAGGGCAUAUUCUGCUUCAUUCAGGAACUGUAUGGACAGUUUGAAGGUAUGAGUGGAACAGAAGGAUAACCGAAUCAAAGAUAUCAUGGGAGUCCAUAUACUCUGUAGACUACAGCAAUCCAAGAUUUUCCAAAUACCAGAAUUCACAUUUUAAGAUCUCCUACAGUAUGCAAGAAAAUAGAGAUUGGGAAAAGCAACAGCUUCCACAAACUCUUAUCAUUUCUCUUCCUUUCUCUAUUUACAAACUUCCACCAUCAUAGGAGAUUUAGGUAAGGUGGGAGAGCAUCCACAAUAAACCAUUAGUUUCUCUCUUAAAAUGUAUUAGGAAAAGAACAAUGAGCACAAGCUGCUCUGUUUUUUACCAUGCCAAUCUGAGCAUAUGCUGAUGACACUGAUUUAGCCUAUGAAGUGUCUGCCAAACCCAAGUACCAAACCAAUGUUCUGAAUAGCAUACAUAUACGUGUUUUAUGGAAUGGCUUCAGUAGGCGUACUUUCAAGCCGCCCAGAAUGCCCUAUAGAGGUAAGACAAAAUAUGAAGUCAUCUUAAGGUUAGCUUAUUUGCGUUACCUUCAUCCUUGAAGAGGACCUUUAGGACUUCUCCAGCAACAUCUGACUGCACAAAAGAAAUAAACAAACAGGCAUCAUAAGUGCUUUCACCAUCAUAAGCUGUUUGAACCCACAGCAUCAAAACAAGCCAUAUGAACUAUUGGUCAGAAUCGAAUGAAGAAAUAAAAAAUGAAAUGAGAAAACAGGAAAUCGCACUCACUCUGACAGGAAGCUCAUUUCCAAAUUGAUCCAAGAAGCCAAUGAUUUGUCCUUCUUUAAUAAUGUCACCCUGUUAUUAACGAAGUUGCAAGACCAUUACAGAAUGUUAGAAUGUAUUCCUGACAGAAGGGGCCUGACUUGGUUUCUGGUUUUGUAGAAAAUCAGGCCUGAUCAUGUGCUGUACAAACAACACGGUGUAGUGAGAGUUGCUGAUCACAUCACCUCUUUACAGCUAGGAGGCUGCUUUUUUCCUUUCAAUGUCCUUCCACUUCGGAAUGAACCAACCUAACAUAAUGAGUUUGUGAAUGUUUAUUUGAAGGAACAAUAAGAAAUUAGCAAGGCUACAUCAUACAAGUCAUUUAUACCGUAGGCGAUGAUACUAGAACAUAUGCAUUUGAUCCAGAAGCCUCUAAAGCUGUCAGUUUUGAUUUCGUUGCUGCUGACACAUUAGUAAAUGGACUGAUAGCUGGUGGAUCAGAUUUCUGUGACCCAACCGGCGGAGAAGCAGAAGCUGAUUCAACCAUUGGCUUACUUGGAAUUGGUGGUGCUGUAGUUGGUGACUCAAUAAGAGGUGCAAUUGAAGUUGGAGCUUUUGGGGUCCCUAUAUCCCUUUUCAGGAGCAUUUCAAAGUCACCAACCUGAAGCAACAGUAACUGCAUCAAUAGGAUAUUUCACAUUUAUUUUGCACGACAAGUGAUUUAAGAUGGUACUUGAUUACUGAAUUAACUGAUCAUCAAUAUCUGAUACCAACAAAAGAUGUAAUCUAAAAGUAUUUCAAAAUUUCACCAAGAAAUGAAAGGUGAUUACACAGAAUUCUUUUAAUUAAAUUAGAAACUUGGUAUCUGAGACUAAAAAUUACAAGUGCCCAUAGCAGCUACUUAUUGUCUGGCCAGAUAAAAAUCAGCAGGAUCAUUUAUGCAACAGAUCAAGGACAUAGAGAUUUGCUGAUAUUUGCCUAGAUAAUCUUCAUCACUUAAUAACAAGAUACAGAAAUUUGCUGUAAAAGAUGGAUCAGUUGCAAUAGUAGUUGAUUUUCGUGCAAGAAGAUCCAAUUUUUAUGUCUCUGGCCGCAAAUCUUCCACUGGGUUCAGAUUACCAAUAACUGUUACUACUAAAAGAUCUUAACCUAGUUCCAGGUUCCAACUCAUUGGCCAUAAAAUAACAGCUUGCAUAAGAUCAUCAAAAUUUAAAGACCACGUAAUUAAAGAUACCAAAAAACAAAAGGAAUUGUUAAAGUCCAACAAUAUCACAUUAUCUUGAGGCAAUUCCUGAUUCUUAGAUUGUCAUGUAGUGGUAUAGUAACUGAGUCAAUCACAUAGCUUUGUACGAUCUUCAAACAGGUUUAUAGGGAGAUCAUGAGCAAUAAAAAAGAUGCAAAAAUAUGUUCUGAAGAAAUUUUUUUCCUCUAAUCCCACUAAGGGAAAAAAAGACAACAUAAGAACCAAUAACUCUGCAAUUAACAACCAGCAACUCAUAUAGGAGAAAAAAGAAAAAGAAUUUACUCUCUUUAUUAAAUUCACUUAGAUACUACUACAAGGGACUGAGUCAUGCAAAUGAAUAUAAUAGAAAUAGGUGGUGUUGAGAUGAAAAUCAUGUUAUGCUGUAAAAGAAAAGUCAUGGAUCACUUAUCCUUAACUAUAGUAGAGAAUGUUAAAAGUAUAAGCAGACAGGUCAAUUGCAUGACUAGUUAAACAGCCCCAUGAACAUUUAACCACAUGUGAUCUUAACAUUAUGGGCUUACAGCUUAACAUCAAGAAGGUUAACAACUGUAUUCACAUGGUGUAGAAUGUCUUUGUGGACUUGAAGUGGCUAGGUAUAGAAUGAUUUUCACUGCAGCAGCAAUCAUUCAAAUAGGAUCGAUCGUGCAACUUGAAGCAAAAUUAUAAUUUCCAUGCUUGCUUCCAAAUAUACCUUUAGUUUUAGCUCUGCAACAUCUGUCUCAUCACACACUUCCAGGACGAAUGUCUGCAAUAGAAACAGCAAGCCAUUUGAGACAUACUUUGAGUACGAAUAACAAAACACAUGGCAUAGAGCCUAAGAAUUGAUACUUGAAGUUAUCAUGUUUCAGUCAUAGAAUAAAUAAAAGCAAAAAUUUUUCAUGUUUCAGUCCUAUAUUUCAACAAACUUGCACCCAAUGUGCAUGAAUAUAAACAAAGCUCUUUGCAUAUGAUGGGAGGGUGAAACAGAGUUUCACAAUGGCAACCUUUGAUUGCACAGGAUUUGUCUGAGAAAGUUUAUUCUAGAAUCUAUUUUGGUCAUCCAAACACCGUCAUGGACCAGAUAGAAAACUUGGCCAAUGUUUGCCACCCACAUAUGGGGAUAGCAGAAACUAAUAUUAUUAAUUCUGCUAAGAAACAAAAUUGAAGGGAAUGUAGAAAAUCACAAAGAGGGCAGUGCAGAGAGAGAGGGAGAGAGAGAGGCUUUGCAUUAUAGAGAGUAGACAACAGGUCCAAAGUACAAUCUAGAAUAACAUACACAGUUGGCUCAAGCAAGUUGAAUUGAAAUUGUUAAAUAAGAUAGAUAUAAUCCUUGUAAGCAAUAAGGUUCAACAUAUGCUUGUAAGAGGAAGAGUGUUAUCAAAAUGACCAGAAUAAACUGAAAAACAUGUAUAAUAUACCUCCAAUUGCUCCAGAAGAAAUAAAGAUAUGAUGGCUAGAAGUCAUAUGCUCAAGAUAUAGGCAGGCAUCUGCAGUGAGAAACCUCCCAAAAGGUCAAUGAUUUGUCCUUACCUCUUUCAUUUUAAUAUCUCAGUAGGUCAAGUUAUGGGCUGGUAGCUACAAUUAGAUGCUGAUAGCCCCAAGCAUCAUUACAGAACAUGCACUGGCAUGCUUGCAUACAAGAAGAAACCCAUUGGUGCUUUCAAUCAUGUGGAUUGGUGUUUGGUGCAGGAAGCUUAGUUGGCUAUAUUUUAAAAGGAAAAAUAUAUGAAGUACAAUUUUAGGAAAAGGUUUAACUUUUAAAAAUAUAUAAAUAACAGAAGGCAUUACUAUAAAUCAUACCAUAUAAAUGAACAGCCCAUAUACUUAUAACCAAGGUUUCAAAUCCUAUGGGAUGGUGGUUCUCUGUUUCUCCACGGAGCAGGAUGCCUCGCUAUACUGUCUCAUCCCAACAGCGGUGGUGGUGUCCGGUGUCCCUAUUUCUCCAUGGAACAGGAUGCCUCGCUAUACCGUCUUAUCUCGAUAGCGGUCCCAGUCACGCAUACCAGUAGAUAUCCUCCGUCUAUCUUCACUUCUUUCCUUUCUUUCUUUUUUUCUUUUCUUCUACCUUUCUUUCUUUCUUAUCCCUUCCUUUCUUUUGUUCCCUUUUCUUCUUCUUUCUCUUUCCUUUCUUCCUUCUUUCUUUCAUUUCUUUUUCUUGUCCCUUCCUUUCCUUUUUUCUUUCAUUUUUUUUAUUUUUUUUAUUUUUCUUCUUCUUUUCUUUCAUUUUUUCUUGUUCUUAAUCUUUUCUUUCUUUCUUUCUUCUUGCUUCCUCUCCCCUACAUGGAUGGGUUUCAAAAUCCCGGUCCCAUCUUCUCAAAAGAAUGGAUGGGACAGGCAAGAUGCACUCAUCCUGUCAGGACGUAACCCUUGCUUAUAAUUGAAAUAAGACAGCUUUUAAAGUGGAACAAGUGAGAACAAAAGUUGAUCUCUAGUUUUUACUUGCACUUAGGCCAACGAGCAUUAAAUUCUACAUGAAAGUCCUUGGCCAAAAUGUAUGUAGGAGCCACCUGGAUGGCAAGCAUCUAGCGCUAUUGCAUAGUUCAUCAAUGUCCUCAGGGGCAUUUUGUUACAAAUAUAUCAUAUAUGUUUAUUUAAGGACAGUAUCCACACAUGACUAGCAUAUUGUCCUUGUAAGUGAGAAAGGACAGCCAUGCUGGUGUAGACAAGUGAAGUGGCAUGGCCGCCAUUGGCUUGACUAUUUAGACUAUCUUCGGUGUUUGACAUUGAAAUUUGAUCUUCUAAGUUCAAACUUCAAUGUAAACAACAACUCAUAAAUUGACAAUUGAGCUUGAGAAACAUCUUGAGGAAGAGGAAGUGUAAGUGAUUUGUUCUUUGGAGUUACAGAUUUAUUAGUAAUCAACUGAAAAAAGGAUUGCAUGAGUUGGAAAAUGAGAUCCAAAAGAAAAUAGCUUAACAAUAGUAUGAAAAACAAAGCUCAGCAUUUUGAAAGUUAACUUCUUAGUAAGUAUGAGUAUUUAGCAUCAGAUCAAGCAUAUCAACUCCUUCAUAUUAUAUUUUAUUGCAUUUCAUGUGAAUUCUCACUCUAAGGAAAUGUUUGUAGUGUGGUGAGACAUGAAGGAAGAGUCCAUACAGAAUGCUCAUGUGCAUGAGAAAACAGAGGCAUCCCCAAUUAAGACAAGGCUUUAGUUUGUGUGAAAUGGUUGGAGAAGGAACAAAAUAGACCAGAACACACUGGACAAACAUAGGAAGAAAGUAGGUAGCAAAGCUUGCACUAACAAAGGAUGUAAGUUUUGAUAUGAAAUUUGUAGCAAAAACGAAUUAACAAAGACAACCUCAUUAGCACGGACUGGACUUGUUCAUCAUGGUUACAAACUUAUAAUCAUGGUAAUGGGCCCCAUUAUUGCAAUCUGACAGUCUCUCUCUAACCCCACCCCAGCCCUCCUUUGGAGCUACUGCCUGAACUCCACUUCAGAGCUGCCACCUCAACUCAUAUUUGGCUCAGCCCCCUUCAAAUUAUCACCUCAACUUCAACUCAUCUCUGUGCAGUAGCCCAACCUUACUUAACCCCUGGACCUGCCACCUCAACCCUUUCAGCACCACUACUUGUCCAACAAAAGAAGAGAAGAAGAGAAGAAGAAGAUGAAGUGGAGGACAAUGGUUGACUUUGGCUAAUUGAUGGUAGCCUUGUCAGCCCCACUGCCUUAACCAAGAAGAAGAGAUUGGUGGAUCAAGGUCUAGAAUAGAAUGGAGUGGUACGGAAUUGUUUUCUGUAGUCUUUAUUUAAAAAAAAAAUAUCCUUUCAGCAAUCCAGUCCAAGUCAAAUGAGCUGCUAUCUUGGCCAGUUUGGAUAGUUGAACAUCUUGAGUUAACAGUUCUAAUAGUUUGAUGUUAAUGCUGGUUUUAGGUCGACCAGAGCGAUCAACGCUGAUGGGUGAAGUGUCAAACAGGUUGACCUGGUUGAGUCUCAAAAAUCUGCAGGGAACAUCUAAUUUGUAUACUGGCUACUAAUUUGCUUCUUUCUUUGUGAAUCCUGUCACCCAAAAGUCCAUGUGCUUUCUUCCUCUUUAAAAAGUUCUAACCACAAUAAAUUCUAGACAAAGAUAACAUAACGUACUUUUGCAUCUAAAUAAAAUCAGUGGCAUAUUGAAAUCUUUGUUCACUGGAAUAACAAGAAAAUCAUAGGUGAGACCUCAAACCCAUUUGGAAGUGUUGAAUUCUGAACAUUUAUCUUCUGUAUUGGCCCUUGCAAGUUCUUGUCAGCUGCAUCCAAAGACAUAACUGCCCUUGCUAAGUUUAGGUGCUGGUGUGGCAUAUAAUAUACUAACAGCAUGAAAUGCCAAUAAGUAAUGAACAUAAUAAUAUAAUUGAUAUUAAUGACUAGCUUUAUUAUGAAUAUAAGGAAGAAAUAUUUCAUUCAGCUAUCUUAAGCAAUGAUGAGAAGUUAUACAUUGAAAUUUAACUUUGAAGAUUAUUUAUAAAUAAGAAUAGCUUUAACCCAAAAAUUCUUAAACCCACUUCCUGUCUAAUUUAAGUUUUAUGUAUGAACCAACAAAAUGUAUCUCUCAAGUUUGACUAAGAUCACAAAUACAAAAGUUUUCUGAUAUGCUUGCCCAUGUAACAGAUGAUAAUAUCCAUUUUAAUUGCAAAAGUUUCCAUAUGUAUAACAAGCAAAACUGAGGAGGGGGAGAGAACUUAUGAUGCCUGAAAUUAAUAUUUUUCUUAUUCUACAACUGCUUGAAUAAUUGAGAAAGAAAACCUUUUUGUGUAGCUCAAGUCUGUUUGGUUAUAUUCUCCAAGUUUAUGUUACCACGGCAAAGGAAGUAAGAUGGUCUCAAUAAGUUAAUGCUCUUUAUCAAAAGAUUGUUUGUGAAGCAACCAGUCAUCAAGCAUGCAGAAACACACUGCUUCAGCAUUUUGCGCAAAAAAAAUUGAGCGUUACUCUCAAAAGGCAUGAAGCAUCAUGAAUAAUAUGACCCUGUUUUACCAGAUAUAUGGAUCUUCCCUUGGCAACUUCGAAAUCUAAUAUCAUUAUGGGAACCUCCAUCAAAACUUCAUUCUCUCUCUCUCUCUCUCUCUCUCUCUCUCUCUCUCUCNNNNNNNNNNNNNNNNNNNNCUACUCUCUCUCUCUCUCUCUCUCUCUCUCUCUCUCUCUCUCUCUCACUCACACACACACCCAGAGAAUCCCUGGCUAUGGAAAAUAAGCAAUUACAUCAAGACUACUGGUAGAUGCCUAAUUGGAAAGUAUUUUACCACUUUUUUCAGAAAAAAGAAACUAUUCAUAAGUAAGAAAAGAUGCAACAUAUCAUGUUCUAGCCAACCAAAAUGACUUGGUAAAAAUGUUGCUGCACUUGCUUAGCAAAGGACAGUUCGAUAUCAGGAAUAUGGUUGAAGCUAACUUACCAUCAGCAGUCAUGGGUAAUGUAGUUUUUGAGGCCUUCACAGACAAAACUAAUGGUCGCUUCUUAGCCAUUGUUGAAAAGUUUCUCCAGCCUUCCACAGGAAUUCUCCAAAAAGACUUUUCUGAAGCAGCUCUGCGAACAUGAACUGCAGCAGGUUUUCGAAGAAAAGAAUAUGCACAUGGAGUUGGCUGUAGGGCACCUAAUAAUAACAAAGAGAUAAGUGCAUGUAUUACUUUCAUCCUUGAUGAAGUAGCAAAAUAAGCCAAAGACAAGCAAAGCUGGUUGAUUAGUAAAGAAUAAUGCACCUUAGAAGAACAUACUGACAAAAUCAUGACUCAAACUUUUACAAGCACCAACAGAUAAUACAGAAGAAAGUGAAAUUCAGUGCCAGGUUAUUGUUUGGCAAAAUCUCCCUCAAUAACAGUAAUCAAAGUAAACCUGUGAUUUCAUAACAUAAGCAUGACUAAAGAGCUCUUUUUUCCAACAAUUGCCCAUUUUAUUUUAUAUCAUUGCAAGUCCAACUUGUGACAUCAUGUGAAUGAGAUCUGACCAUAACCAUUCAAUUCGAUGAACAUGAGAAACCACAUAAUUCAAGAAUAAAUCAAGGAAACUCAAUCAGAACUUUUCUAAGCCAAGUAAUCUAUUUUGGCAAUCAGUUUAUAAUAGAGAAAGUGCAAGUAUCAAAGACCAUGACUUGAAAUGCAACUCCCUGUUUUCUAUAAUAGCUGGACCUCAACUAGCUCACAUACCGUAACCACUAGUAAUAUAUUUUGAAUAAGGGGCAAUAAGAAUUUCCUUGAAAUAUACAGACUACUAUAGUAUGCAAUUGGAAAAGAAUUCAAGCUAAACCCCUUUCUUUAUUAUCUUUGUAUUUAUGGUAAAUAUCAGAUAUCAUCAAGCCUAAUCCGAAAUUUCCAUUUAUAUAGAGAGUCUGAACAAAUCAAGUUCCAAUCCAUCAAAGCUAAGGAAUACUGCUCGUAAGGUAAUGUCAGCACUCAGAAUUGGUGUCCAGGUCAUGAAACAGGCCCGACCUUAAAAACUUGAGGGCAACCAUGUAGAUUCCUUUCAGCUUGGAAAGAAUCAAUGCAUAGAGAGAAGAGCGCCAGCUUCAAUAUGGGGAAGCGUAUCCAUCUCCAAGGCAUAAACCAGAAAAGCCUUAUGGAACCACAAGCACACUUUCUUUUAUUGAUUGUGAUUGCAUGCUAUAAAAUGAUAUCUUUUGGAGUCUACAAGUGUGAUUUUGUAAAUAUGAAGUGCUUGAGAGAAAAUGACACGGUCAAUUCACAGAUGGGAUGCACCAAACGCAUUUUGUAUCUACCACUUAGAUUACCUAACAUCUUCAGAAGUUCAAGAGUACCUCAUUGAAUUGCAACUAAGGCCACUUUUCUUACUGCUCCUCGUAAGGAACGUCCAUAACAUCAUGCCUCCAAUUUUAACAUAAAUUACGCUAGUUUCAGCUAGAUGAUGCUUAACAAUUUACCUCCCACCAGUAAAAAUCUUGCUCUGCCACCAAAAUCAACACAGAAACUCUUAUAUUUCAAAAUUGGGGCAAAAUCUUUAACCCCCUAUAAAAGUUCCGGGUCCAUGAGAAUACCAAGGACAUGACAUCUGAAUUUUAAGGGGAAAAAAAAAGGAAACAAAAGACAUCCUACUAAAUAAACUCAUAAACAUCAAGAGAAGAAUUCAAUCACCGGAUCACGAUCCCGAUAUGAGAAAUUAACAACAAAUCCAACUAAAGUAACAAGAGAUCAAGAAAUGGAUCAAUGGCGAAUAAACGAGGAACAAAACCGCGAGGAAAGAGACAUUACAUUGGAAGGAUCGGAGAACCGUGGCGGAUUCCAUGGAGGAAAGCCGACGAAUCGGAGAAGCUGAAAAGAUGAAUGGAUGAUCGAAGAGGAGAUGGCCGAAUGUGACAGGGGAUUUAUAUAGAGAGGGAGAGGUAGAGUUGGUUUCGUCGCAGUAGAACUGGGACGGAGGGCUUCGAAAUGUCCGCCAUGGACAUUGGUUUCACCGGCUCGAACGAGAAACGAGGUCCGGAAACGAAAGGAGAAUCCGCAUUCCGCGUAGCCGAUCGUAAACAGGAGGGCGGGUUAUGAAAAUUGGCAAAUAGAAAGGGAGCUAUUGUUAAAUUUUUUAAUUCACAUUUAUAGGCCCGUUAAAUGGACCACGCCCGUUAAAAUGCAUACGAUAAGUAGAUAUGAACAUGUUAUUGUUGUUGGCUUUUCUUUCUUUUUUAUAUCCCUUCUUUUUUUUCUCUCUUUUUUUGUGUGUGUGUGUGUGUGUUUUUGUGCUAAGACAGCACGAUUGCACAUCCACAUAUUAAGGAAUAAUAAAUUCAAAGAUUUUUAUGGAGAACAAUUAUCGUACCUAUAAAGCAAAUUCCUAUCCAGAGAAGGCAACUAAUCAUCUGUUUGAUUGGUUUUCAUGUAGAAGAACAAAUUAAGUAUGAGGAGAACAACCGCCCUCCUUUUUCAGCUGGUUUGUUUGUAUUGUACAUGUAGAAGUUUUCUAUUGUAUUUUUUGUUAGCAUACAACUGUUUCUUUUUUGAGGCUUGGUUCCCUUUAUCUACCAAAAGAAAGCAUUAUUCCUUUACAAUAAAUAUUAAGUUUUGAGCUAAGGGAUUUGAUUUAAGGCGGACGAUGCUUGACUAGCUCAAUAAUCAUAUUUUAUUGAUGACGACAAGCUUGCAUGGGACAUAUUUGGCCUGACUCGAGCAAGCUAUGAGUCCAAUAUUUGGAGCCGAACCCAAAGUGGACAUUAGCCAUAUCAUGAUGCCUUUCAAAUCAUGUCUUGAUUUAUAUGAUAGGCACAUGCCUCCAUGCUUGAUCACAUCCAACUCGACCUAUAUAAGUUUGGAUUGUAUCUAUCACUUGCAAGAAUUAUUAUUUUUUUUUUACGACAUCAAUUAUUCGAUCGUAUCAACCUACAUAAGUUUGGAUUGUAUCUAUCAUUUGCUAGGAUCAUUAACUUUUUUUUUGUAACAUCAAUCAUUGGAUCGUAUCAUCCAUGGCACUUAAAGCACUACCAACUUCUUCAUUCAUCUAUCGUUAUUGAAGCAGUUAUUACGAGAUUCAAUGGUGAUUUGUGUGAAGAUGAAUCUUUCACACGAAAGAAACAAUUCCAGUCCAACCUACAUGCAUAUCCAAAGUACGGUAGUCUUUGAAUGAGAUUCAUGCACAGCCAUUGCAGUCUACAAUUCGAUUGUGUAGUUAACGACGAACAUGCAAUUCACAUCCUGCCCAAACUUUUUCAAAUAUUUUUUUUUCAGUUUGAUUCUAGUUUGGCUUCAUUAGAUGGAUGGGCCAUCACAAUUGGAGGCCAAAUUUAGUUUGCAACUCAUGCCUGACGGCGGAUCCAUAGUCUAACUUUGGCUACAGAUCGGGUCUUACCCAAAACCCCAGGGUUUCUGUUCACUGACUAUAAUUUGAGCUCUAAGAGCCCAUUUGGAUGGAGGAGCUUUUUAACUUAAAGUAAAUGGUAAAAGUUUGGGGUGUUUGGCUAUUAUAAAUAUUAAUUUAAAAUUAAAACUUGUUUGGUUAACAGGAAGUGGAGGAAAGAAGAGGCAAUUUUUGAAAAUUGAAGAGAGGGUCUUUUGUUUGGUUAGAAUUUUAAAAGGAGAGAGAAUGAAAAAAAAAAAUUUAUUAGAAGUCACUCUUUACAUUUUAUGAGAAAUAGAAAUCUAUGGAAGAAGUGAAUUUUGGCACUUUUCAUGAGAUGAAAAGUGAUGGUACUUUUUUUUUCUAAAAUAUCCUUUUAAGACUAAUAGCCAAAAUUUUUCAAAAUAUCAAUGUUACGAAUGAAAUAUUGAACAGUGAUAUAACAUUAUAUUAGUAUUAUCAUAAUAUUUGUAUUAAUAUAAUAUUAAUAUCAAUAUCAAUAUUAUAAUAUUUAUUAUAUUUUAAUAUUUAUACUAAUAUAAUAUUUUUUAUUAAUAUUAAUAUUAUAUUUAUAAUAAUAUAUUGAUAUAUAUUAAUAAAGUAUUAUAUUUAAUAUUAUAUUUAUAUCUAUAUUAAUAAAUUUAUUAUAUUAAAUAUUAAUAUAAUAUUAAUAUAAUAUUAAUAUAUAUUAGUAUUAUAUUAAUAUAAUAAAUUAUUAUGAUCUUAUGUUAUAUUAUAAUAUAUUAAUAUUAUAUUAAUAUUAAUAUUAAUAUAAUAUUGAUAUUUAUACAGAAUUUAAGGAUAAAAUAUAUGGUUUUAUAUCUACUAGAGGUAUAAUAGAUAUUUUACAUAAUUUUUUCAGAAAAAUAUAUGCUCAAUCAAACAUAAGCUACUUUACAAUAAAUUAUUUUUCAUAAUUAAUUAAAUAUAUUAAAAUUUUAUUUUAAAAAAUAAUUUUUUAAAAAUAAUUUUUCAAAAAAUUAUCUUCUUAAAAAAAAAUUUCCGCUGACCAAACGAGUCCUCGACAUAACAAUUCAAAAUAAGCAAGAAGCUAUUUUUAGCUAGAAAAGCUACUUAAGCCACAAGUAAUUUUAAAUCUACUUUAAAUAAGUCAAUCCAAACGGGCUCUAGAGACUGCGCCGUGCCUUCUCCCAUCGUGUUCCUCACAUUCUCUCGAGUAUGAACUCUUCCAAUGCUUCCAUUGUUCCAAACUUUCCCCUAGAGUUAUAGAGAUCAAAAAGCUUUUUUUUUUCUCCAGUUCUUUUCACCGUUCUUUCACAAAGAUUAGGUUUUGAUGCCUGUUAGCCUAGGUCUCCCCUGAACCCCGAUUUCUUUUGAUAAUUUUCUGAUAAUUUUCACUCACCUACUUGUUCGAUUAUCACUUCGUCAUAUUUCCCAAAUUUUUAAUCUGUUAUAAAGUUUGUUUGGUGGUUUGUUGUUUGAAAAUUUUAAUAAUCAAAAUUUCUUAGUUGUGCAGUGUUACUGCUCUACUGUUGAUUAAUUUUUUGUUUUAUUGUUCCUUUUCCCCUAUAAACUUAUCAAUGUAUUGGGUCCCAUUUUUUUUUUCUUGAGGAAAAAAAAAAUUGGACCAACACUAGAUUGCUAAAUUCUUGUUUUCCAACACUAGAUAUUACUAUCUCCGGCCUUUUUACAACUAAGAAUGAAUUUUUCAGCUUAUUUAUUUCUUUACAGAAAAAUGCGCUUGAUUGAUUUUUGGCGUUUUACAAUAAUUAUGGUCAUUUGGGCACUAUGGAUGUACGAGAAUUUAGGGAUGUUUGGUUGACCUGGCUAUAUGUUUCAAUUAUUUAAAACUUUAUUUUUUCUCUUUAUUCUUUUGAUAGUGUUGUUUUCUUAUACGAGUCCUAGCUGCAGUUUAUGUAUAUUUUUCUACGUUUGAUAGAUACUGGUGAUAGCAGUUCAAAAAUAGUUCAGAUUCAGUUCAGAAUUAGUUGGACAGUUCAGAAUUAGUUUAGAUUUAGUUAGGAGGUUUAGGAGUUUGUUUCAUGUAAUAACAAAACAAUUAACUGGCAGUUGAGGUCAGUAGUUUGUUGUAAUGAGAUGAACCCCAGAUUGUAUUGUGGAAGCCAUCUCUAUAAAUUGCCAAGAUACAUUAGAAUGAAGGCAUGCAAAGUUUGAGUUUCUUCCUUCCUGUUCCUGUCUCCUAACUUCUGUUCCUCUAUUCUAUUUCUUCUUCCUGUCUCAGUUUUCUAUAGUCUUCGUACUACACCACGGCCAUAACUAGAUCUCAAUCUCGAGCUUCUUCAAGCUCGCAUCAAGUGGUGUCUGAGCCCCGUUCUACCAGAUGAAGUUUUUUAUGAAUGUCAAGAUGAUGAGCACGAUCCUCUGCUUCAGGAGGAAGAAAAAGGGCAUGUUCUGAAAAUUUCUCAUUUCGCACUCUUGAAAAUUUCAGAUGAUCCAAUUCUCCUUACUAUACUUAAAGUGAGAAGAAAAAUCUCCAAUAUUCCCACCACUGUUCUCUUAGAUUCAGGGAGUACUCAUAAUUUUUUGCAUGCUAGAUUGGUCGACAAGGCUAACCUUCAAUUAUCCAGUUCUGAAACCUUCAAGGUCAAACUUGACACGAGAAUUCAAUCCAUGAGCUCUGGCAAAUGCUUGCAAAUUCCAAUUCUGGUGCAUGGUUGUUACAAGAAAUCAAUUUUUAUGUACUUCCUUUAAGAGGCUGCGAUGUGAUUUUGGGAGGUAUGUGGUUUAAAUCCUUGGGUGAUAUUAUCUGAAAUUUUGACAAACUAACCAUGAAAUUUCAGCUGAACGGGAAGAACUACUUGUUCAAAGGCUUGCCAUUUGAUAGUUAAAUAUCCUUCAUUUGAUGUAAGUUCUUAAGGGGAAGGGAAGGGAAUUGAUAGAUACUGGCGAUCAGUGAGCAGUUCAGAAACAGUUCAGAUUCAGUUCAGAAUUAGUUGGAUAGUUCAGAGUUAGUUCAGAUUCUGUUAGGAGGUUUACUAGUUUGUUUCAUGUAAUAACAAAACAACUGACUGGCAGUUGAAGUCAGUAGUUUGUUGUAAUGAGAUGAGCUCCAGAUUGUGGGAAGCCAUCUCUAUAAAUUGCCAAAAUCAAAUUCUGAGUUUCUUCCUUCCUGUUCCUGUCUCCUAACUUCUGUUCCUCUAUUCUCUUUCUAUCUCUUCUUCCUGUCUCUGUUUUCUAUCGUCUUCUUCUUACACCACGGCCAUAACUAGAUCUCAAUCUCGAGCUUCUUGAAGCUCGCAUCAACCUUCUAGUAAUAUGCUUGCGUGAUUCCUUUUGCUCUAUAAAAAAAUGAUUGGCAGUUUCUUUUUGCAACCAUUCCACACACACACACACAUAUAUAUAUAUGGCAUUUUCUAUCUUGAUAUCCAUUCUUAUUCAGAUAAGCUAUUAAAGCUUUUUAUCUGCUUUCUUUAAUUGAUUGUUUGGAUCAGUUCAAACAUGAUAUCGGGAGUCACUUUUAAAACAUAGAAGUUAGUUUGAUAUAUAACGUUUAAGAUUGCUCCGUUCAGUAUGAUUCACAUUGGGUUUUGCAUUCAGUUGAGUUUGUCCAUUGAUGAUGGAGGGGAGUUUUGUGAGAAUGUGCUCUAUGUGAUCGGUCUAUUUUGCCUGUACAGAUUGUUAUCUUUAUGUAUGACAGAUGUCUGUAACGUCAAAAGAGCAUGUUUAUCAUACCAUGGGCCCUGCAGUAUAGACUGUAGACAAAUGUAGGUUAAAGUUUUAGCUUUAUUGCUGCAUUAUAUUAGUUAUUAUGUAAUGUUUGUUUAGCCUUUUAUUUUCUUCUUUUUAUUGGUUAUAUAACAAAAAAGGAUGAUAAAUUUUUACUUGGUGAAGAGUCACUGUGUUUUGUUGUCCAUAUUUUUGUGACUAAUUGUUGUUUUUCUUGGGUGUACUGAGAUUAAUUCUAUAAUUAGUGGGCUGAAUGGAUUUAUCGUAGGCUCAAGAAAUAUCACAUGCCAAAGGGCCUGUUGAAUUCAUGUUGUCUUCAAUAGUGGAGACUAUUUCUUUGCCGUAUUCCAGGAUUCUAAGAGAGAUAUUCAGAUGCAUGUCUGUAUAUCUCUGGCAUCAGUUAGAGGAUUCUUCUUUACUUUUAGCAUUAAUGCAGACCAAACUGUCAUUCGGUUACUUGUUAUAAGGCAAGCUAUUUAUUUAGUUAAUCAACCAAUAUUCGAGUCUUUGUUUGAGAUUUAGCCAUCUAGAAUCAAUUGGUGGUUAAACAUUUCCAUUUGUGGUCACUAAGUCAAAUGGUUAACUCCCCCUGCUCCCUUCUCCUCCUCUUUCUUCUGGCCACAUGUUCAAGCAAUCUUUAAGGUACUGUUUGGAUGUGUGGUUUUACUAAGAUGCGUACAUAAACAUUAUUAAAGAAUUAUCAAUUCCAACUUGAUAUUGAUGAAUUACAUAUUUGAAGCUCAAGAUUAAUUCAUAUGAAGUAUGCAUUUAGAGCUCAGAUUUUGUUCUAUAUGAAGUAUGCAACCUAAUCCUUCCACAAUAUGAUUUCUGUGAAAUAUACAUUUAUGACUGAGUUCACAAAAUUAGCAUCUUUUGAUUGCGUUUGCUCCUAAACCUUUGCCGCUACUUGUCUUGCUUCUUUCACUAUCUGAAUGAAUGAAUGAAAUAAACUUACUGUCACGUCCCCGACCCGAGAUUGUGAAUCGAAGGUCAUGACAACCGCCGCAUACUCAUAGAAAUUUUUUCCCAUAAGCAUGCAAGGCAUUUCAUCAUACUAUCCUAAAACAACAGCGGAAUAAUUAGUCAAUAAUUUGAAUCCGAAAUAUAAUGACCUAAAUUUUUUCUUUAAUGUCUCAAUAAAUUCAACAAUGAUUUACAGGCUUUACAUCAAAUUCAUUAAGCCUUUCAACCUAAAAUAAAAGUAUGAAGAUUCUGCUUCUGAUCAUUCUUCCAUUCACAUCUCGUAUCAUCUUAAUUCCUCAACAUCUGUAAAAAUAGUAAAAUAGGAAGUAAUGAGCUAGACAGCCCAAUAAGCAAUGAUCACUUUUCAACAGAUUUCAUCAAGCAUUUAAGUAAAUAAUCAUUUAUAGAAAAUAAGCAUAUAUAGUUCAUCAAUUCAAAAUCAAUUUCAAUUAUGCAACAUAAUUCAUACCAAAUUCAUUUUUUUAAAAAAAAUUCAAAUUUCUUUCCAGAUUUUNNNNNNNNNNNNNNNNNNNNNNNNNNNNNNNNNNNNNNNNNNNNNNNNNNNNNNNNNNNNNNNNNNNNNNNNNNNNNNNNNNNNNNNNNNNNNNNNNNNNNNNNNNNNNNNNNNNNNNNNNNNNNNNNNNNNNNNNNNNNNNNNNNNNNNNNNNNNNNNNNNNNNNNNNNNNNNNNNNNNNNNNNNNNNNNNNNNNNNNNNNNNNNNNNNNNNNNNNNNNNNNNNNNNNNNNNNNNNNNNNNNNNNNNNNNNNNNNNNNNNNNNNNNNNNNNNNNNNNNNNNNNNNNNNNNNNNNNNNNNNNNNNNNNNNNNNNNNNNNNNNNNNNNNNNNNNNNNNNNNNNNNNNNNNNNNNNNNNNNNNNNNNNNNNNNNNNNNNNNNNNNNNNNNNNNNNNNNNNNNNNNNNNNNNNNNNNNNNNNNNNNNNNNNNNNNNNNNNNNNNNNNNNNNNNNNNNNNNNNNNNNNNNNNNNNNNNNNNNNNNNNNNNNNNNNNNNNNNNNNNNNNNNNNNNNNNNNNNNNNNNNNNNNNNNNNNNNNNNNNNNNNNNNNNNNNNNNNNNNNNNNNNNNNNNNNNNNNNNNNNNNNNNNNNNNNNNNNNNNNNNNNNNNNNNNNNNNNNNNNNNNNNNNNNNNNNNNNNNNNNNNNNNNNNNNNNNNNNNNNNNNNNNNNNNNNNNNNNNNNNNNNNNNNNNNNNNNNNNNNNNNNNNNNNNNNNNNNNNNNNNNNNNNNNNNNNNNNNNNNNNNNNNNNNNNNNNNNNNNNNNNNNNNNNNNNNNNNNNNNNNNNNNNNNNNNNNNNNNNNNNNNNNNNNNNNNNNNNNNNNNNNNNNNNNNNNNNNNNNNNNNNNNNNNNNNNNNNNNNNNNNNNNNNNNNNNNNNNNNNNNNNNNNNNNNNNNNNNNNNNNNNNNNNNNNNNNNNNNNNNNNNNNNNNNNNNNNNNNNNNNNNNUUCUUUUCUCUUUUUCUUCUUUUUUUUUCUUUUCUCUCAGGCUCCUUCAUGGCCGAAAUAGGGGACCCGUCCUUUGCCCGAUCGUUCAGGCCACCGCCGUCACGACGGAGGCCGGCGGCAGAGGGGGGCCACUCUCCCAGGUUCGGAGAGGCAAGGCCGGCGGUCGGUUGUGAUCGCCGGCGCCGGAAAACUCAAGGGAAGAAGAGACCAAAACAGGGGUCUCUUCUCUGAUCAAAAAUCGAUGACACCCGUCGCCGGCAGUCGCGCACAAAGACACGGGAAGAAGGGGAAAGAAGAGAGGAAGUGGAGGAAAACUUACUUCGGCCUCCGGUGACCUCGUCGGUGAGCAAUCACGGCGAGAACAAAAUGAGUAUCCGCGGCUCCAAUCGGAAAAUCAGGGAGAAAGAGAGGGGAAGAGGACCGAUGAUCGGCUUCUAAGGAAGGAGAGGGUCUUUUUAUAGAGAGCCCUAGGACUCCUGAGGGUCCUAGGACUCUCGAUUGCCGGGGUUUAAUCGGAGAAGAAGACUCCUACCGGGAGUCUUCUUCCCGGUUCCCUGCUUUCUUUUUUUUUUUUGGGCUUGAGUCUUGCUAGAUGGGCUUGGGCUUUGGGCUAUAACACUUACCAACCUUAUUCUUUGGCCUCUCUAUGGUUUCCAGUAUCAAUGAACUUUAUCUGCCUACUCUAUCGUUGACUUGAUCAUCUUAGUUUUUCUUUGGUUAAAUUUUGAGUAUCUCUACAGUAUAUUGAUCGACUUGGUCAAUUCAUCAUUAAUUGUAUAUAUAAGAAUUGUUCAAAAGAUGUUAACAUUUUUGAUUUCAUAUCUUUGCAGAAUUAGAACUGACACUCAACUAUCAUUUUGGGCUUCCUUUAAUUUGUAAUUUCGCUCGACUCAUUUGGCUCCUAAUUAAGUUAUCGUUUACCAUAUCAUAGAACAUAAUUUAGGUUGCACGUCAAAACCCAUAAUAAAUUUGAAUAACCAAACAACAUCUUAACACAGUUUUCCCUCAAAAAAAAAAAAAGGAAAAAAGUUCCUGACACAGCCAACAUCUAAACUUUCUUUAACAAACACAGCCAGAUAGCUAAAUUACAAAAAGAGGAUUUGCAUGAGUCAAUGUGAAAACCUGCAUUCAUAAAAGCUAUUCAUAAAGCCUGUGUAGAAAAAUGAACAUAAAAGUUGGCAACCCUACAGCCCCUAGUCUAUAUUUUGUGUAUAGGUAGUAGUUUGUGCAUUACUCAUGAAAAAAUUAACUUUCUUUUUGCUCAUGUAACAUCUAUCUUCCACACAUGAGAUGCCAUUUGAAGUCAUGUUAUAUAAGUAAAAAGAUUCUUCAGUCUAGAGGCUACAUAUAGCAACACUUAAUUUAUUGUCAGCUUCUCAUUCAAAUUUUGUCUGACACCUGCAAGCAACAACCUAUCUUUAUUUCAUUUGUAAUAUACCAAACUAUCAUGUUGUCUCCCAAAUAACAUGUAAAGAAUAUCGUAUGAUGGACAUUUCACAUUUCAGUUUGAUAUGCCAUGAUCCUUGGACUAGUUGUUCUGUAAAUUUUUCUCAUUUGAAUGCUAUUGACCUCCUUAGCUUGCAUGCAUUUCUUUUGCUUAUGUUUUUCAAUGGAUGUUCAUUUAGACUUGCAUGUUCACUCACAUGAAUAUUCACAAACACAUUAGUGAAUAUUUAUAGAAUCAGUAUCUGUUCACAUUAGUCAAGCUUUUCACAGCCUAAAUGAUAAUGAUCACCAUAUAUCAUACUACCUUCACAUUAUUUAAUAAUCAAGGUCCAUUGUAACUGGAUGAUGGUGAAAUCAGAUGAGGACUUUUAACAAGUUGUCUAAUGGAUGUUUUUUUUUUCCCAACUUAAAUCAGGAUAUAAUUGACACAUGACUCAAAUACAAAAUGAGAUUAGAGAAGUGUUGGUUCUGCUCCUCAACCAGCUAUCCAGGGCAUGGGAUUCAAUUUGUUCACAAUGAUGCAAAGGUGGGCCCUAGUCUCUGAUAAUUUCCUAUGAUAAUUUUUCUAAACUUUCUUUGUUCCAAAGAAAGAGUGUUUUUAUAGAUUCCAGUAUUUUAUAUUCCUGUUGGUAACAUGCUUCACAAACAUUUAUGCUACACCAAGCUUUUCAUAGUUUCUGGUUUCAUAAUACAUUAUUAAGUUAAUUUUAUAUGAUGGCUCUGAUAUUCUAAGUUUUUUUGGUUUGAUAAUCAUUUAGUGAUUAUAUGUUGUGUCUUGCUAUACAUAUAUGUGUAAUCUCUCAAUUAUGAUAGUGUGGCAUUAACCCGGCCUUGAUCUAACCAUAAUGCAUUCCUCCCCUUUUGAGGCACAUAUUCUUCUGUAAACAAUUGUGAUAUCUAGUUAUCAGAUAGUUGUGCUGACAAAUUAACUACAAUCUCAUGAUUUGAUCAUUUUAAUAUCAUUAAUCUAUGAUUCAUGUGUUGUCUAAUGAGCAAUGCUACAUAUAUUAUGUUACAUUGCUAUGUAAUGUAGCAUAAUACAAAUUUUUAUAUAGGGUAGCAUAUGCAUCCAACUUUGCUAGGUAAGGUGAAUUAAAAGGGUAUCCAUUGCAAGGCAUCUAAGCAACUGCUUGGAAGUAGAUUAGUAUAUUUGAAUGAGUUGUUGACAUGGAAGUAACAUUUUAAAUCGACAGGUUAGUUAAAGUAGCUUAUAAUGUGAAGAUUAAGCAGAUAUAAGAAUUUUUUAGCCCCCUGACUGGAUAUAUUUCUGAUUUAGAUGAAAUUUCAGCAACAACAAUGACCAAAAAUAUAGGUGAAGCUAGUGUUCUGCACUUGACUAUAUAAACCAUAUUUUAUAUGUUUGGGUUUUCAUACAUUAAUGGUUUGGUUGGCUCAUCAAAAUAAUUUGCAUGUAUGAGCAUCGAAUUCUCAUUGCCUGGUACAUCCUUUUUGGUGGCUAUGAUAGUGUUUUGACAAGCAUCUUUCUGCAGAUCUUCCGAUUUUGCCGAUCCAAAUGCCAUAAGAACUUUAAAAUGAAGAGAAAUCCUCGCAAGGUGAAAUGGACCAAGUCAUACAGGCGAUUGCACGGGAAGGAUAUGACACAGGUAAUAAAUAUGGCAGGACUAUUAACUUCUCUAUAAUCUUGUCAUGGUCCUUAAUCUGUUUUAGUAAAUUCACUGUCUAAUAAUUGUUAUUCUUCUCAAGAAUUCGACCUUUGAGUUUGAGAGGAAGUGCAACAGGCUCGAGAGAUAUGAUAGGAAUAUCACAGAGAACACACUGAAGGGGUAUUUGGUUGGAGAGAGUGGGGAUCUAAAAUUGGAGUCGGAAUGGGUGACUUCCAUUCCAACCAUUUAGUUCGGAGGAGUUCCAUUCCGAUUCCAAUUUCAAAAUGGAAUGGGAAUGGCUCAAUCUAUAUAGAAUUCAAUCCUUACUCUCCUCUAUGGAUUCAAAUUUUCAUUCCAAUUUCGAUUCCGAUUUCGAUUCCGAUCACGAACCAAAUACUUCGGAGGAUUUGACCAUUCCGAUUUCGAUUCUAAGCCAUUCUGAUUCCCAUUCCCAUUUUGAUUUCGGUUGCGAACCAAACACCCCCUAAAGGCCAUUAAGAAGAUUGACAAAAUCAGAGUGGCUAGAGAGGCUAGACAUCAUGAUAUGAGGUGGGUUCCUUCUGCAACUUGUAGCUUGCUGUCAAAAAGAUGGAUGUGCAAAAAAUAAUUCUCUCUUAUAAUGUAAAUCUCCACUGCAUGUUCUAAUAUCUUUUGGAAUUUUCACAGGAUGAGAGGUAAGAAAGCCAUCGUGCGGCAGGCAGCAGCCAUGGAGUUGGAGCAGAGUAUUCAUUUGGUCAAAGCACCUGCUGCCCUCCAAGAGGAUCCAUCCUUCACUCUUCGCAAGAUGAAAGUAAAGAUUUCUCAAUCACAGAUGGAGGAUCGCAUGGAAAAAUAAUGAUAAUUCAGGCAAUCCUCUCACAUAGCGGCAUAGAAAACUCAAUUCAACACCUUUUUAUGCUAUGGUUGAUAUAGUAAUGGUGCCUGUGGUUAGUAAAACGUGGUCCUUGAUAAGAUGGAACAUAGAUGGAUUUACUCACUUAGCUGAAAUUAUCGUGUCUCUUCUGAGUUGCCUCUGUGCUUGCCAAGCACUUCUUAUUUUAAUUUUUCUUUGAGAAUUUUUUUUUUUUUGGCAUCCAAAUCUGAAUUCAUUUCUGAACUUGCUUGCAAUUUAUGCAACUACAUUGUGGAUUAUCAUUGGACUGUCUAGGAGUUGCCAGUGUGACACUAGCAUUUGACAUGAUUGCGAUCAUGAUUUUAGUAAUGCUGUUAUACAAGAGUCUUUUACACCAAGUUUGAAAUAAUCAGUUUUUUGAGAAUGGCAUAAUGGUAUUUUCAAUUGUGGUCACUGGUUUCAAUUUCUAAUGAUAUGAUUGCUUGGAACAUAUACAUAACUGGUUAUGUUUUGGACACUCGUAGUAGUUCCCUUGAGUUGUUUUUUACCUUGGCAACUAUGCAGAUCUAAAAAUUGUUUUGCACACCAUCUGAAGGACCAGGUUUUCUUUUUCUUCCUCUUUUUGUGAUCGUGGGAUAAGUAGUAGUCCCAAGAAGUUAUAUGCAAUGCUUAGAUACUUCUUAAUGAAAAUGUGUUCAAUUAGUCGAACAGAAACAGAAAAAGUGGGUUAGAAUUUUCUCUAAUUUUUCGUAGCUCCAAUGAGUAGUUUGAUAAUUGUACGUAGAAAACCUCUAUUUAUGUCUACAUAAAUGCAGCAAAAAGUCUACAUUAUAACAUAAAAAUUUGAUCAUAUGCAUAGUCAAUUAUCUAAAAUUUUUUUUUUGAUUAGUCAUAAACUAACCUUUGUUUCUUUAUUUUAUCUCAAUGGAAAUUCAUCACUAUUUCACUUCGCUAGAAGGUAGCACACAUUAUUCACCAUGCAUUUUAAUUGAUGCAUGGUGCUUGACAUGGGUCCAUAUAAUAUAACAUAAAAGUUGGUCGGAUUGCACAUAAUAUUGCCAAGUAUGCAUAGUUUAAAUCUACCUCAGCAAAAAAUCUUCAAGAUAAAGCUAUCUAUUCAGCAAACAUAGUCUGUCGAUUUUAUCCUGGAGAACAACACCAAGCAUGUUAUAAUGUGGAUUAAUGCGGGCUGCUACAUGUGAUAAAUUCUUCAUUAUUCUGUUUUUUUUUUUUUCAUUUUCCGAAAACAAGCUCUUACUUUAGAUUUCGAUCUUGCAAAUCUGUUCAUGUUGGAUUAGAGAGAAGGUCACCGUGCCAGCGACAAAACCAUACAGAACAUUCCGAGGUGACGAAGGGCCCGGCGGCAACAGCCACAGACUUGCAAAGCAGCUUCUGUAACUGUUUUUGCUGGUGGUUUCUAGGAAUAUUAGUCUCAAGUUGAGUGCCUCAUUCCCUGUUCUGAUCGUUGCUCGGUUUCAUCUGGCAGCAAAGAGCAAUAGGCCGAAGUUAGUUCAUGAGGACGGUAAUUCUUGUCCCCUUUGUGUUCUUUGUUUUAUGAAGGAUCAUGAUUCGAGACAGUGUAUUCUUCAUUUCGGAUGAAAGUUUUACUAUUUACACAGGCAUCAUUCACAAGUGCUCAAAGUUGUUGAUAAUGAAAAGCAAGCAUAGCCUGGUUUUGCUAAAAUGAUUCAAGCUCAACAUAAAGUUAGAUUUGUUUGAUGGGUCAACUAAUAUUAGAUUAAAUAAUAAGCUUUCUUAAAAUUUAUUACAAUACAAAGCAACUAGCACUUAACUCCCGCGUUGCAGGGAUUUAAUUAUUAUUAAUAAUAAUAUUUUAUAAUUAAAAGUUACUUUCACCAAUUAAUCUCGUGAUAAGAUCAAAAAGAUUUCUAAGAGUUCUUUUUUUCAAAGAUGGUCUCCCAAAUCAGUGAAGAUUGAUGUAUUUGAUAUUAUUUUUUAUCAUACUAUUUAUAUUUAUAUUUUUUAUUUAAAAAUAUUAAAAAAAUAAUAAAAUUUGAUACUUGAUGUUGCGAGAGAUUAUUCUAUAAUCAUACAUGUCAUCACGGAAUAUCACUCAUAAUAUCCGUAUAUUACUUUAUUAUUAUUAUAUAGAUAUAUUUUUUUAUUAUACUAUUUGUAUUUUUAUUUCUUAUUUUUUAUUUAAAAAAUAUAUAUAAAAAAUUUGACACAUGGCAUUGUAGGAGAUUAUCAUAUAGUCUUACAUGUCAACACGGAAUAUCUAUAUUUAUAUUUUUUAUUUAAAAAUAUAAAAAAUAAAAUUUGACACAUGGCAUUAUGAAAGAUUAUCCUAUAAUCAUACGUGUCAACACGGAAUGUUACCCCUAAUACCCAUGUAUUGUUAUGCUAUUACACGGAAUGUUACCCCUAAUACCCAUAUAUUGUUAUACUAUUAUUAUUUAAAAAAUAAAAAUUGACAUGUGACAUUGUGAGAGAUUAUCUUAUAAUCUUACGUGUCAAUACAGAAUACCACUUCUAAUACCCAUAUAUUGCUUUACUAUUAUUAUAUAAAUAGAUAGAUAGAUUUUUUUAUCAUAUUAUUUUUAUUUUAUUUUUAUUUAAAAAAUAAAAUUUAAUAUAUGGUGUUGCAGAAGAUUAUCCUAUAAUUUUACAUAUCAACACGAAAUGUGUAUUGCUUUACUAUUAUUAUAUAGAUAUAUUGAUUUAUAUUUAUAUUUUUUAUUUUUUAUUUUAAAAAUAUAGCAUUGCGGGAGAUUAUCCUAUAAUCUUAUAUGUCAAUAUGGAAUGCACCCAUAAUAUUUGUAUAUUACUUUAUUAUUAUUAUAUAGAUACUUGAAAUAAAAAAUUUCAGUUAUUUUGUUCAUUUAAUUUUUAAUUUUUUUCAUUUUCAUAUUAAAUAAAAAAAGAAUUUUAUUGACAAUUGUUGUUGUUGCAUUACAAUUAGAAAAAUGAAGAUCAAAAGGCAACUAAUAGAACCAGGAGCUUGCACAUCAUAUUAAAUAAGAAAAAAAAAGAAUAGGAAUAAAUGAUAAUUAGAAGAGUUAAAUUAGCAAGCGCUUUAGUGUUAAAGGUUUAAAUGAAGAUUUUCAUUUGAAUUGCUAAUAAGUGUUGAAAGCUCGAGGGAUACACCACUCAAGAAUCAAAACCAUGACUCCUUGUUUUCAAGCAAGAUGAUGUAACCACUGAGCUAAGCUCAUGUUACACCGGGGUGUUUUAUGAUUGGAUUGAGUUUGGGUUGGCUAAAACCAAUCUAAUUAUAAAUAAGAUAGAUUUGGAUUGGCUAAGAUCAACCCAAUUAUAAAUGGAUCAGAUGUAAAUAUAGACCUUAAACUCCAUCGGUCAUCCUUCAACUCCACUGGUCAUCGAUUUAGCAAACUCUAAACAUCAAUUUCUAAACCUCUAAACCUCUAAGUCCACUGGUCAUCAUCGAUUUAGCAAACUCUAAACAUCCAUUUCUAAAUCUCUAGGGCGAUGAUAAUCUAGUAAAGGAUCGUGACCUUGUCGCUGAUUGGAUUAGAGUAGUUCCCACAAUUCGAAAGGCUAUGACUAAGAAAACGACUAAAAUAUGAUAAGGAGAAAAGUGAAAUAAUAACAUAUUUAGAAUUCCAUGUUUUCUCCAAUUUUAUUACUUUAUUUGGAUCGCUUAUUUUCUGCUAUUUGUUUUAUUUACUAAGAUAUAAUCGACAAAUGAAAUGCUGAUCGGGUAUUAAGUUGAAUAUGACUUUAUGUAAAUAAAAGUUUGAUUACAAAUGAAUUGUAUACGAUUUUUUUUAAUUUUUUUUAUAUAACCAAACCUGAUCCGUUACGGCUCUUACCUAGUAACGACUAACCAGCAUCCACAAAUAGUCAAAUCAGAGAGCUAAAAGACAGAACUUGAAGACAGGACGUACCCAAAUGCAUCUGAUUCUUGGAAUGUCAGAACAGCUUCUAAACCACUUCUUGCACUACUUGUAAAUAAGAAGGUUCAUAUAAAUAUAUAUUUCUACUUUCCAUCGUAUUAAGUUUUCAUCGUAGAAUAUCAAUUUAGCCAUACAUUCUAUUUGAAAUCCCAAUCACAGAGUAGGCCAAAUAUUCUGGGUCGUGGAACUCCGAACUGCCAAUUUUAAUUUAAAAUUUUUUUAUUCAAGUGGUGGUUACGUGUGAACUCACCCAGUCAACUUAUUUGUAAGCGACCAUCUCUACGGACGUUUGAUUAAAGAAAAUUGAAUCCUAAAAUAAAAAAUAUUCUAACUAUUUGAUUAAAAGUAAUCUCAUUCUUAUUUCAAUUUUAUGAGAAAAUAAAAAUAUUUUAGCCUUUUAAUAUCCAAUCCCUAUUAUGUUCUAACAAAUAAAUUUCAUUUCAAUUCUGAUCACGAGUUAAAUAUAUCAGGUAUAUAGCUAAUUCCAAUUUCUAUUUCCAUCCAUUAUGAUUUGAAUUUUCAUUCCGGUUGCAAAUCAAAUGUGCUCUAAAACUUUAAAUUAAGUUCAUACAUCGCCACCACUUGAAAUUCCCGUGGACAGAUUUUGCCACAGAUGAUUGUUUGAUUAUAGUACAGUGAUGCAGCAUAGCAACAAUAUGAGUCAGCUAUGUCAAAACCAGUGGUAACCAGAACUGUGAACUUGGAAGUUUACCGGCAAUCUUUAAACCGUCCGGGGCCGAGCCAUUCACGAACAUUUAACAAGCAAGAUCAGCAACAGCGGUAACUAGCAAAUGAAACAAACCAUCAAUAAUAGUUUGAAUAGCAAUACAACAGAGGAUACGAAGGUUGUGGAUGCACCCUUCAGAUACUACUUAAGCAUCCACACACCGUCCAGAAGGAUCCAGAUGCUGAAUGAGCUUCAAAGAAAGCAUUGAUGGAAAACAAGAUCCAAGGAUUUAAUUAAGAAUGUGUAGCUCAUGAGAACAAAGAGAUGUGCAAAAGCAUGACACUAUAAGAAAAACCUAACACCUCCAAUGGGUCGAACAUCAACAAAUGGAGAAGCGGGAGAUGACCACCAAGUGCACCACAUAUUGAAUGAAAUAACUAUAAAAAAAUAUAGGUCAGACUCUUAAGUUAUUAACUUUCUGAUAUCAUAUAUGUCAGAAUCCAUGAAGGUGUGUGUUUAGUCUCAUAUUGCCUAUAUACUAGAUAAGUUUUGAGCCUCAUAUUGGCUAUAUACUGUAUAAAUUUUGAGUAUUUAUAUAAAGUCAAGGACCAAUUUUUCUAUCACACCAACUCCCCAAGCCUUGGGGGCUAUCUCUCAAUCUAAUGCUAAGUUAUCUCCCGUCCCGUCUGCAUCAUCAGUCCUAUCCAUACUCUCUCUUCUUUUAUUGUUCCCUUGAGCGCCUCUCCGCUUGAGAUCGAGCUCUCUUUUAUUUUCAACUAUAAACCUCAUCUUGCUUCCUCUUUUUCUCUCUUUUGUUGUCAGCCACAUCGCUGGCUUUUAUUAUUUUCUAUUUUAAAAAAAAGUAAAUUAAUUAUAUUUUUGAAAGAAUAAAAAUAGAAUUUUUUUCAAUUUUUUUAAUGAAAAAGUCACAACAAUGCGAAAAGCAUGUGUGUGUUGUCAUUAGAGGGCUUCAAAAUGAAACGUGCUAGAACAAACCCAAAGUGGAUUUCAUCGGGUGGACCAUACUUGACUAGUUAAAUAAUCAUAUUUCACUAAUCAAGUCAAGCUUGAUGAAACUUAUUUGGUUUGUGAGUCUAAAAUUUGGGAACAAAUCCAAAGUAGAUUCUACCCAUAUCAUAUCUCUUUUCAAAUUAUGGAUUGAUUUAUCCAUUUUUUCUUCAAACCAAUAAGCACUUAUCAUCAACUGCAUGAUAAGCAUCAUGCCACCAUUCUAAAUCACAUCCAACUUGACCUACGUACAUAUUCAAACUAUGAUUGUCUUUAAGUGGGAUUUGUUGUUGCUGAAAUCCAUGGUCAGACUAAGAUCGCUAUGACCAAAGUAAUAGUGAAGUCAGUCUCCUCUCGAUGCAUCAUGUGGAUAUAAGGAUAUAGCCAACAGAGCAUCUCGGUUGGCAAAUGAAUCGGAAAAGAAAGUUUUCUUGUUGGAGUUUUUUCAAUGAAAAUCCUUCAAUACUCAAGUUAGUUAAAAUUUAAAGAAAAAAAAAAGAAAAAAUGAGUGUUGUAAGAGUUAAAACGAUUUGAUAACAUAUCUAAGGAGUCUCUAUUAAAUAGAGGAAGUUCGAUAACCGUUAUCAAGGCAGAUGAAACAUGUAUUAAUUAGGCAACAAUAGUUUUGAUCAUGCUUAAUUGUACAGUAAUGACCUCAUUUGUUUGUAUAGUCGCUUUAAAUGUACGAUGAUGAUCAAGAGGGCGUUAUUGUCACCAAUUCUCUACAUUGACACGGUCAUCUUUUCAAUUAAUCUAUACCCGAGAUAAAUGAAGUUAAACAUUGCUAAUGUGACCCCAAUAUCACCGAGGUUAGACAAAUGAAUAUGCGCCACAUCAAGAUUCAUGUAUAGCCGCUGGAGUCCGUGAUCUCAUCGUGUAGCUGAUGAUCAACAUGCAAUCUAGAUCGUGCCCCCGAACUACAAGAAAUUUUAAUCAUCACUUGUUUCAAUUGUUUCUUCAAUCAGAGUCUAGUUUGAGUUCAUUAGGUGGGAUCUACUUAUGUCAACAUAAUUCAAGCUCAGAUCUAGUUAGGGGCUCGUGCCCGACGGGUUGUCUAACUUCGGCUACGGGUCGGUUCCUACCCAAAACCCUAGGGUUCCUGGCGACCAUAUAUACUAAGCUCGAAAGACUUCGCCGCCUGCUCCUAUCGUCCUCCUCGCGCUCUCGCCUUCGCUCAGGUACGAAUUCAUCUCAAUGCCAAGGUUCCGUUCUUCGCAGCUUUGCCCUAGAGUCUUAGGGAGCUAAAAGUUUCCUUUUUUUAAUUUCUUUCCUCGUUCUUUCGCGAAGAUUAGGUUUUGAUGCCUUUUAGCCUAGGUGUCCCCUGAUCCGCGAUUUCUUUUUUUCUUUUUUCUGAUAAUUAUUUGUUUUCUUGUCACUUUUGACCUGUAAACUUAUCAAUGUAUUGGGUCCAGUUUUCAUACGCGUAGAUUGCUAAUUUCUUGUUCGUAACACUGGAUGUUAUUGUGUCCGGCUUUUGUACAAUUUCGAAUAAUCUUGAUCUCGGCAAGUGAGCAAUGUACGAACUUGCUUAGUUUCUCGGUAUCUGUACCAUAAACCGGAUGUGUUUGGUUUUAGGUGUUUUUCAAAAAUUAUCAUCAUUUUGGCAUAGUGGAGGUGAGAGAAUUUAGGGAUCGUUGGUCGACCUGUCUUGGUGUUUCUAUUUAUUUAUAGCUUUAUGUUUCCCUUUUUUUUCCUUUAUUGUUGUGACAGCAUUUUUUUUCUUAGCUAAUUUCUAGUUGCUGUUUAUGGAUAUUUUCCGCCUCCUAGUGAUAUGCUUGGGUGAUUCCUUUUGCUGUAGAAAAAAAUGAUUGCCAAUUUCUUUUUGCUUCGAUUACAGGUCGUUAUGUCAUUUUCUAUAUUGAAUUUGAUUCUUAAUCUUGAUCAGAUAAGCUAUUAAAGAUUUUUCUCUCUGUCUUUUUAUUGAUCGUUUUGAUUUUAUCCAAUUGUUUUAAAAUGUCGAAAGCAAGCAGUCCUGUAGUGCAAUGUGGCUUUCAAAAAAAAAAAAAGAAAAAUCUUGUUGAAAUUGUCAAGCUAGUAUUUUUCAUCUUCCCGUGGUAUUUUUGAUGUGAAGGUUUUGGUUCUCUUUUCUUUCAGGCUAUUUCCUUGUUCUAUACGCUGCUGUCCAACCAAAUUCACCAACAAGAUGCAGAACGAGGAGGGCAAGAUGAUGGAUUUGUACAUCCCGAGGAAAUGGUAUAUCUUGAAGGGGAUCACCUUCGCAUACCUUAACUUUUAGUUGUUUCUUUGUUGUCAGUUUAUCUCAAUUCAUAUAAUAGCUGACCACGUAUUGAUGUUUCAUCCUUAAAUGUUUGUUAUUGUAGUUCGGCAACAAAUAGGCUUAUCACUGCGAAGGACCAUGCAUCAGUUCAGAUUAACAUAGGACAUUUGGAUGAGAGUGGGGUGUACACUGGCCAGUUUACUACUUUUGCACUCAGCGGCUUCAUCCGCGCUCAGGUCUGCAUCCUUUCCCUGUAAUUUUUUUCUUUCUAGUUAGGAGUGCUGUAUUGUUUGAAGCUGGCAGAGUUGCAUUGUUUGUUAAUUUGACUUGAUAGUUCUAUGACAUUGUUUGAAAUCUUUAAUUCUAUGAAAUUAGAUGAUUGAGGGCUUCAAAGGCAACUUUUCUACCCUGGAAAGGUUUGGCAGAUAGACUUAUGUUAGAUUAUGCCUCCUUGGUCAUUUGUAAACAUAAGGAUAUUGCUGACAUUUUGAAGUCAGCAGAAAAUCUUGAUGCGAAGUCAGCAUAUCUCCUUGAAUUGUAAUAUUGCAAAUUUGUACUGACUGUUGAGAUUGCUGAAUUUAUUGAUUUUUCCCGUUUAAUUUGGUAAUUUCUUCUUUUCUCUUCCCACAUUUCUUAUUUUUCACCCGACAUCAUGUACAUAUUGUUGUAGUUUGUUAACAUUUGAUAAGAAUGAGGUAAUUGAAUAAUGAUAAAUGCGGGAUACAAGGAUCAAGUGUUUUCAUGAAAAAUUCUGCAUUAACUAAAUCCUUUGUCCUCACAGAUUCUGACACUGCAUAAACAGGUAUGCUGAUAAAUACAUUUACAUCAAUUUUCCCUCUUGAAGAUAGAAGAAAUGUAUGAUGAUAAUCAGCAAACCUUGUCAGAAUGUGAGGCAUGGCCUUGUUUACUCAAAUCUUUCUUCAAGAAUUCCCAAGAUUGUUCAUGCUUCAUAUGUUUCUUGGAGAAAGCAUCAGAGCUAAAGGAAACCAUUAUGGACUGUCCAGAUAAGGUCCCAUUGAUGUUGAUAAGUUUGAGAUUAAUCAGGCUUUUUUAGAUUUUGACAAUUUUGGAUGAGCAUAAAUGCUAGAGUCUGCUUUUCUGUCCCUGUAGCAAGGCAACCUUCCACCCUUUAGGAAGAUUUGGCACGGUAGAAGCCUCUUGUAAAUAAGGGUAGUCCAAGGUGUUGCCUUAUAUACUUCUCUUCACCUUUAACCCUAAAAUCCCCACAAAAGAAAAUGGUGAUAUCUCAAAUAGGAACUUUUUUUUUGAAGUGAUUUAUAACAGUUAAAAUAUUUUAUGUUCGACAGAUUCACUUCACAAGCGAAUAAUUCAACCAGAAAGGUUUUUGUUUUUCAUGUCUAAUAUGAUGCCCUUCUGAAAGCUUCUCUUUUCUCACUUUCUGCAUUGUACCUUCAUGGGAUCACAUGGACCCAGUGGAGGAAAAGUUGCACAGCAAAUGACAGAAAAAUCCUCUGAAAGCAAGAGACUAGGAUAUUGUUGAUAUUCAUAAAACCAUGUGCUUUUCAUGAAAGCUUGUGCUAUUGUACUUGUUGGAUUGCAUAAUUUCAAGGCAAAUGUUCGAUUUGGGCCAUUGUUGGAUUUUUUUAGAGAUGGGAUAGGCUGGCACACACAUUGCAUUUACUGUGCUCUUCUCUUCCUUUUUAAGUUUUUGAAUAAUACAGUGCUUGUUCAUAUCUUCUUCUAUUAGUAUAUGGUUGAAUCUUAAAUGCUUAAUAUUUGAAUUUUCUAAGGUCAGGUUGGUUUUUAACGGUUAGCUUGUUUACAAAAUAUUGGGUGGUAUUGCCACCCUUAUCAACGACAACGAUGAAGUCUUGCUUUCUUUUACCUUGGGAAUCAUUGGCCUAAUAUUUGAAGACAUACCGACUUAUUUCUUCCUAUUCAUGCUCUAAUUAUCCCUUUUUUCAGGCUUAUUUAACAUUGUAAGAUCGUCCUAAUCAUAAUAGCAAUAAACAUAUGCACUGAAUAAACUAACAUCUAUUUAUUCUUAUCUUUUUCUGUAAAUAGUUUUGUACAAUCUCUUUGAAGUAAUAAAGCCCAGAUUGCUAUUUUUGGAUACUUUUAAAUCAGUAUGAGAUGUACUAGAAGCAGCAAUUGAAAGGAAACAUAAAUAAUGGUGUUCCUAUGGAACAAGCCAAAAGCCCAAAAAUGUAGGGCCAGAAGGAGUCAAAAGGCAAGCAUGUCAUUUGAUCAGAUUCUUUGAGACCCCAUGAUAGUUUAUAGGAGCUAAAAGCUCAUACAAGCAAGAAAUAGCUGCAGCUCAACUCAACCCAGUUGAUUAAUGACUUCCUUCCCUUUUUGUCCCCUAAUUUUCUUGGCUUAAUGACUUCGCUCCUCCUCUCCCCUUAUUUACUUUGCAUCCUUCUUGCCUCUAAUCCUACUCUUAUGCUUAUGAACACCUUGCAAAUUUCACCUGGUAGUUUAGACCUGAUCGGGUAAUACCUCCCUCUUAUUGAUUGAAUGCAUCUAUUGCAAUGUUAUUAAGUCUUAUUGUUUAUUUGAUUAUGAUAUAUAAUAAAUAAUAUCAUUUAGUUCAUUGUACAUGGGAAGAGCUACAAUGAACACUAGUAAGUCAGCUUGUGUGAAGGUUUUAACAAUCAAUAAAGAUUUAAAAGUAGAAUCAUUUGAAGAGAAUACAGUAUCGGUGUUGCAUAAUUGCCAUAGUUUUGUAAGAAUGUUGAUUAAAUAUUUCAGUGACCAUUAUAACAGUUUUGAUAUAUCUUCCAUUUUCAACAUUUAUAAUGGCACCAAAAUCAAAUCCAUGAUGUGUGCCUAGUUGUCAUGGCAAGGUCCUUCGAGACAGUCUGUAACUGAGCAGACAUGUAACAAUUAAAGCCAUCUUUUCUUUUCUUUUUUUUUAAAAAAAACUGGUCUAUUUGUGUUCUUUUACAUAAGAAGUUGGUUCCUGAUGUCAGCAGGGCCGACUCAAGUGUAACUCGACUUUUUGUCGUAGUUCACUUGAUCAAACGAUGAAUUUGCUGCAUUAUGUGUCUAGAAUUUCCAUUUGUACGUUUAUAUAAAUCUCAUAUUGCAUUCUGUGUUACAGGGAGAUGCUGACGGUGCUCUGGAUAGACUUUGGCAGAAGAAGAAAGAUGAAGUCAGGCAGCAAUAGACAAUUGCUACUUCUAGGCAUGGUUGUUUAGCGCGUUUUUUUGUUACGAAAAGGAUUUGAGUGCUUUUUAGUUAGGCUACUGGCAUGUGGUGCGCUCUAAAUUUCAUUUUGCAUGUCAAUUGACAUCUACAAAUAUUGAUUGCUGUUGGAUCCUUUUAAAACCCUGCAACUAUCAGUAUUUUUCAGACUUGUGAUUGGUGCUGUGAUUAUUUUCAUUUCAGGACAUAGAUAUGCAGGUUAUAUUGGGCGAAUUUUACCUAUCUUACUGGAUCUUGGUAACACAAAUCAUUGCUUGUUUAUAGUUUUAUGCACCAUGCAUUACAUGUGGUUCCAGGCUUGCCUGCAAAGAAUUACUUCUAAGUGCUGCUAGGUCUGUAUAAUAAAGAGGUCGUCAUUCUAGCGUCCAUUAAUUUGGGUGUCAAAGCAAUGUUAUGAUGUAAUAGGUGUUGCUUUCUACCAUUAACUUAUGCCUGUGCGCGGGGUUUGCAUAGAGCUCCAUUCAAAGUAAUAAAUUACAGUGAAAGUUCAGAUCACCGUUCAAUCAUGCUGUGAUCUUUUAUCAGAAAUCAUGCCAAACAGCAGGCUAGUUUGCAAGAUAAAUGUGCAAGUAGUAGAUUUAAAUUUCUGGGUAUAUAUGUGUAUACAUGCAAAUCGAGAAGGCUUAUGGAGAAACUUCUAAUCACUGCCAUUAAACCUUUGUGAAUCUUCAUUGCAAACACCAAUUCACUCAACAAAGUCAAUGUAGGGAGCUCUGUUUUUAUAUAAUAAUUAUGUAGGAAACUUCAAGUCACUGCCACCUCAUAUGGAUGGCGAAAGAAAAGCAAGGGAUUGUUUCUUCUCUCAAAUUCCAAUUCAAUUCAAAGCCUCCACCCUAGUUGCAAAGUUGCUGCCUCCUAAGAUCUCCUAAAGCCAACUUGCCUUUUCUCUCCAAUCAGAGACUAGUAAUAAGCAAGUUAAUAAAAGUCAUCAGUAAGCAUGAUCCUUUUUUCCUUUUUUUUUUUCUUUUUGAAGAGAGAGAGAGAGAUAGCACCAUCAUUUUGUUAAGAAAAUGGAAAUGAUAACAAAUAGACAAACAUAAAAAUAAGGAAUGCAAAUCCUUUAAAUUCAAAAUCGUCACUGUGAUCGAUUAUUCUCAUUUACUGGUUCUGCAACCAAUUUUAUGCGGAAUUUGAUUGGUAAAAGAAUCGUUUGCCCGCCUUCACAAUUUGACCUGGAGAUUUUAUUCUGGAUUGUAGCUUGCAUGACUCUGUUUCUUGGGUAAAUGAGCAGGAACCGCUGCUAUCAAGAAGGAUGGAUGCAGUUUGUAAUUGUGGAUGUUCAUUGUUCAAAGCACGAUGCAAUUCACAAUUUUACAUGAUUAGAACUUGGAAGUGUGCAUUUCUGCAUGUGGGGUACAGUACUUGGUCCGGCAGCUUGUUGCAGGGUUUCUCAUAGGUUGGUCCAAAGGCUAUAAGUUAGAGCGACUCUAUGCGGUUUGAUACGAGUUGAUUUAAGGCCAUCUAACGCGCUUUAAGUACAUGCGACACCAAAUCUGACAAAAUAUUUAUUUCUGAUAUCAUACUUCCCAUGCUUCAAAGCAUGUGUGGGAACCAUGUUCGGUAUGACUUUUGAAACAGCCUAAGAUUAGACAAAAUUCUCAACAAAUCUUCUUGCUGCCAUCCUUCAUUAUAUAUGAAUUCUUGUCUUUAAAUAGGUUGUCAUUCCCGGUAGCUUAGAAAUAAUCAACAGGGCCAUCACCAUGGGCUAUAUAGUCCUUAGGUUGCAACCCUCCCACGUUUGGGAGGAGAUGGUGUUUAAAUUUUUGGUAUUUUUAAAGCAUCUGACAUAUGCAACUCUUCUGAAAUAUUUUUUUUGGCAUGAAGAGGACCCAAUGAUACCAGGCUCAAAACCUUGUUCAAGCUUGGGUUUCCAAUAAAAAAGAAAAGAAAAAGAAAAGUCCCGGAUGCAUGGCUGUGCACAAGAUUUCCAAUACAUGAUCACCCCUCUACCAUUCACUGCAGCAGCAGGAAUCACAUGCAGGGUGGAAGUAGGGUCGAGAUUCUCACAAGCAAAUCGAAUGAAUGAUUUGGCAUCCAAGUUCUAUGUAUCCUUGGCAGACAUAAUGUUUAAUGGAAUAAUGAUCAAAUAUGGAUAAAGGGCAACAAAAAAAAAAAAAAAAGGGUAUAGUAGCAGCCAGAGAGACAUAUGAGUUUGUUUCAACAUAGAAGAGAUGCGGAGAUGGAAUGCGAUCAGCAAUGUCAACCAUUGGAAGAGAACAGGCUCUUCGAUGCUUAAGAAGGUUUUGCCCCCCAAAAUUUGGCACCUCGAAAAACAAUUUACUGCAUGGAAGCCAUAGGAAAAUUUUCCCAUGGAAUACUUCUUCAAAUGGGAAUCAUGGAGAGAAUGCAUGCGAAAAUAAUGAGUGAUGAUGAAAACACAAUCACUAAAUUUUUGAAUACAUUCCUCAGUUCUGACAAAUAUAGUCAUGACUAAGCCACUGACCAGAUAACACCUGUUUAUAAUUGUAGACGAGGCCACUGCAAAGAUCAAAUAGCUGAUACUACCAAGAAAAAAGAGGGGGAUCAAAUAGCUGCCAUUUUCUGAAAUUUCACUUCCUGAGAGCAGUCUCAAGUUCUUAAUAUUAAAAAGCCUUAAUUUUUAUGAAUUCAGCAAAUUGGCUAAUCAGGUUGAUGUUAUCAUUGAACUGUUCAUCAUAUUAUCUACUAGAAAAAUAGGGAUCUUUUUUAAUACUCAGACCUAAAGAGGUAUAUUUCAAUCUAGGCACUCAGUUCACAAUACUGAUGUAGAAAAAGUGAUUAAUAAUAGUCUCAAAUCAAAUAGUUUAUUAUAUUCUCUAAUUAAAUGCACAACAAGAAGAACAAAUUUAGCUAAAAUGUCUAUUUUUACUGUGCAAUUUUACAUUUAGCACCAUCCAGAGUGUUCUUAAGCAACAUAGCAACCGUCAUUGGGCCAACACCUCCUGGAACUGGAGUGAUCCAUCCAGCCACCUUGCUUGCUUCCUGGAAGUCCACAUCCCCAACAAGUCUAUAACCUGACUUCUUACUUGGGUCAUCAACAGCAUUGGUUCCAACAUCAAUUACUGCAGCUCCAGGUUUUAUCCAGUCUCCUUUGAUCUGCUCACAGUGCAAAGAUCAUAUUUAGCAUCACUCAUAGGCUAACAUUAUUAUUUUGGUGGAAAAAUACUGACAAUCUAUGUUUAUAGUAAAACUAGCUCCGGGCUUGGCCAGAGUACCCUUUAGCAAGCUUAAUUGAGCAUUCUUGCCAUCUAUCACUAUGACCUUAACAUAUAACAAUAAGAUUUUAGACAUAAAAAGGAUACAGAAAUCAAAUAAUAGCAUAAAGAGGUGUUAAGUAGUGGCAUACCAUCAUUGCUUGUCCAGCAGCAGCAAUAACUAUAUCAGCCUCACGGAUGAUAUGCUCAGGAUGCUGAGUAUGGGAGUGAACAAUUGUCACAGUUGCAUCUGCUUUCAGAAGAAGCAAGGACACUGGUAAUCCAACAAUAUUGCUGCGACCAACUACAACUGCCUUUUUGCCUUUUAUACUUACACCACUUCGUGAUAGUAGUUCAAGGCAUCCCUGUGAAGAAACUGCAUGUAUCAAAACCCAAAACUAGUAUUUCUUCAGAUAACGCUCAAAAUGUUAUUGGUAGUUCACAAGGCCUUUAAGAUCCUUAGGACCGAAUCAUCAGAUACAACUUUGGUACACUUUUUAGAACAGUAUGCAAGGUAAAUUGUGAUAUGGAUAUGACAGGAAAAGCUAUCAUGAUCGGAGGUAGGAUUUUUGGUAAUAAAAAAUAUACCUUUGGAGUGCAGGGGAGAAAUAAUGGCUCUCUGCCUUUCAUUGCUAGCUUGCCAAUAUUUAGAGGAUGAAAUCCAUCAACAUCUUUUUCAAUACUGAUUUCACUCAAGACUUUCUCUUCAUUUAUGUGCUUUGGCAACGGAAGUUGAACAAGUAUUCCUGAAAGUAAGGCAAAUAAAUAUCAUUAAAUACAAGCGUAUACAGAAAAAGAGGAAUCCUGUGUUGUGGUAAAAUAAUCUCCAGUUUCAGAAUUUGGUUCAGUAAAGCUAAGAUUAAAAUACAAUAGCCAGUUCUAUGCAUGAAAGCAAGAGUCCAUCAAACUUAAGACCCCAAGAUACUUGCUAGCUAGCAUAAAUAGAGAUUAAUUUGGUAAGUUCUACAGGAGUCCAAUAUAGACCCAGCUUAUAGAAGUAACUAGACAUGUAAUAGAUAAAAUUGGAAAGCAAUGCUAUAAAAUAAGAAAAAUAACCAAGGAGAAAAAUACCAGAAAACAUUAGGGAAAGACAAAGGUCUGUAAAAGGAUAUAAGGAUAAGUAGCUACAAUAACAUGAUAUGCUUAAAAGGAAGGAUAAUUAUCUCUCACAACCGAAUCAAGAGACUAAGUAGACAAACUCCCCCGUCCAUUUUACUGAUGCUUAUUCCAUGCAGGGUCUAAGCAGCGAGCCAUCCAAUUAUGGGGGAUGAUAGUUUUUUUCUGGGCAGUAUGAACAUGAUUAUGGACCUGAUCUGUGGAUAUCAUUAUACAUGAUUUAAACUGCUUUUAACAAUAUAGUUAGCUACAUGUAAAAUGCUAAAAUGGAGCAAUUAAUGCUUUGAACAAACUGGAUACAAACUUAUAUCUACAAAUUCUUCAGCUCCCCUUUUGUAUAUCCUUUAAGUUCUUGUCAUGAUUGUCUAUGGUAAUUGCCAUGGAAUUUCAGAUAUUAUUUUGAAAUCUCUUUCCAUUUAUAUGCUUUUGCAUGUGAAGGUAAACCCCUAUUCCACUUACAAAGACAGCUGUCAUGUCGUUGAAUUUCGAUAUCUACCAUGUCCAGGUCAGCAAAAAAAAGAAAAUAUUUCCAUCUAUUGUCCAGCCAAAUGCAGUUUGGGCAGGUUUUAAACAUGGUUAUUGUGUUUUACAACAUAAAAUCUUAAGAAUAGUUUUACUUGCACAUGCACUUGCAACAUCUCAACAACAUGAGGUGAUUCAUAGAUUGGUGAUUAUCAGCCUGUACUAUGAUUUUUUUGGUGACAUUAGUAAGAUAAUGCAUCUGGACAGAAAAAACCUAGCUUAAAGUAACGUCUUGAGAAGGUUUACAAAUGUUAUAAUCAAAAAUCAGAUGGCAAAGUCAUAAAUGGGACUUAACUUAGUCACACAUAUUUUGAUUCACAAUAUGACAGUUAAGAUGGUGAUGUGUCAUACUUCUCAAGCGAUGUCAAUUGACAAAUGACACCUUAAAACAGUAGCACUGAAACAUGCUUGACUUCCACAAAAAAAUGGCCGUGUGCAAGUUUCAGGAGUGCAUUUGUCUUCUGAUACAACAACAAAAUGGAAAUUUCCUUGACUCCAAUUAUACCACAUUGAUGAAGGAAAUUACUGAGCUUCAUAGUAUAUUUACAUCUGUAAUAAAGCAACGUAAAUAACAUAGUCAAAAAUAACAAAGACAUGAUAAAUCCAAAAAUAACAAAGACAUGAUAAAUCAUAUGCAAUCUUGAUCUUCUUCUUCUUCUUCUUCUUCUUCUUGUGCAUAGAGUGUAUUGGAAAAAAUGAAAUGAAAAUAAAACAGGAAAAAUAAAAGAGAUCUUCCCAAGGAAAACAAACAGAAGGGCGACAUCAAACAAAACCAACAAAGCGAGUGAUUGCAAAUGGAUAUAUCAAAUAGUUCUAAACAAAAAAUAAAUAAAUAAAUAAACAAAGCAUCUCCAAAGAAAUCCUGCAAUUUCGUAGGAUAGUAUGUCAAUGAUAUCUUUUCGGAUGUCCUCCCCCACAAGCAUGAUUAUGACUGAACCUGAACUCUUCUGUACUGCCACCAAUAUUGGGAUGACCCCAAGAUCAAUCACUCUAACAUGUAACAACAGGGGUAUCCCAAGCUGACUCAUAUGAGGCUUAGCCGCAUACAUCUAGCAAUAUAUAAUUCUUGCAAAUAGGGUGUAUAUCUCAGGGUCACUACAAUGACAGCUGUCCGUUAUAAUCUGAGCUAGUUCAAACAAUACUUCCAGCCUGGCACCUGCUCACUGAGUCCUACAACAGAAAUUCAUCAAAGUUAUCAACAUUCUUCUAAGUACAUAACAUAAUAUUUCAAUUUGCUACAAUCUUAUUCAGCAUGGCACUAGAAAGAUCAACACAGGAAGUACCUGCCUUCAAAACAUUUGCACAACCCUUUAUGUCAAUGACUCACCCUUGUCUUUAAAACCCCUCCAGUCAUCUCUCUCCAACAUCCACGCAUAAAAGUGAGUCGAUGAACCUACCAAGCCCAAUCCACAUCACAAGUAGAAGGGACUAAAGUCCCAAGAGAUCAGAAAAUCUUCUGAAAGCGAAUAGGAAGCACUUGCCUUCAAACAUUACAUAUUGGCAUGACAAGAUCACAGUCCAGUUUCUAAUAAUGUCCACUUCCAAAAUAUCCUAUUAUAACUCAACCUCCACAACAUCUUCUCAUAUUCCUACCAUAAAGAAAAUUAACACUGCAGCAUAUGUAACCCCCCCCCAUAGAAAAUAUAUAACGGUAUCCCUUUCAAGUUAUGCAAAAACCUCAUAAAUGUAAAAACACACCAAAAUCUAGUAAAAAGGGCUAGGAACAAGUAAGAAAAACACUUAAGGAUCUAAAUCCAUUCAACAAACAGGCAACUGGUAUUUUUAUUCUAUAAACAAGCUUCCCUUGUUACAUGGAAGUAAGACGUCAUCUCCUCCAUUAAUAAAUGAAAAUACUCAACACCACUCUCUUGGCAUCUCUACACAACCCAGUUACAGGGAAGAAAGAAUUUUCUUCAACCUGCUCAAGUCGCAUCUCUCAAGAUAAAAUAAUAAAGAAUAUUAAAAUUUUCAAAAGCAGGAUUAGGUCCUUUACGUUCCUUAAAGAUGAUAAAACUGUUACACAGGUCCUCUGUAUAUAUUACUGAGGUCUGUUCUUUCAGCAUCUAGGUGGAAUUUCUCUUCCAGUUAAAAGAGGCUACAAUGUUUUCUAAAUAGAAAGUGACAAGCAGAAAUAAUUAUGACAAAGCCAAAAUUUCUUGGAGCUAGAUCUCGAUUUCUAUAUCAACUAUGUUUUAUCCACCCAAAUUGGAAGAUAUCUAGCCAAAGUCUUAUCCACAAGGUAACUUUUAAUUUGAUCCAUACCAUUUCGAGACCCAAAUGCCAUUGAAACACCACAUCAGCAGAUGCGAUGAACCCGAGAUGAUAGCACCCUCAUAGAUCUCGAAAAGUUAAACAAUUUCACAUAAAAAGAGGCAUCUCAAACAAAUGUUAUGGAUCUUGCUCCCAAACCUUGUCCAAACCUACCCAAGGUGACUCAGCUCGUCCACAAUUGAUCUGGUGAUUCUCCACUACUGCACAAUCUUCAAGUAAAUCGAUACUCAAACUAGAAGAGCUAAAAUUAACUAAACUGCACCUCAGUGGAACUCGACCAAUUAACAAGUUGACAUGUUUCUUCUUUUGAUGAACUCCUCAUUCAUAUCUCCUACUCAUUACAUUAGGAAUACAACAAAAAGAACCAACAAAAGCAACAUGCGCACAAAAAAGAACCAAAUUUCUUAUAGUUGAGCUGUCAUUGCUGAAUGAAAGUACAUGAACCACUAGACCAACAUUAUGAAGCCAAAAAAAGGAGGAAUCUUGGGGGGAGGGGCGAACCAUGGACAUCGGCAUCGGCGUUCAACUGGUGGACCUUCUCGAUGAGGUCGGCCUCGGAGAUAUCCUCAGGGAGAUCGAGAUCGAAGGACCGGAUGCCCACCUCCGCGCAGGCCUUGCGCUUCAUGCUCACGUAGCUCUGCGAGUCCUUCCGCGUCCCCACGAUCACCACCGCCAGACCCGGCACCUGAGAAUCCAAUCCCGACCAAAAUCCCAUCAUCUACGACCUAAAAACCUCAAAUUCGAUCGACAAAUUGGAGGGAUUGAGGUGGGAUCUGAGGGUUCUGGGAUUGUACCUUGUUGUAGUUCUGGGAGAGGGAUCGGACUUCGCUGGCGAUCUCGUUUCGGAUGGUUUGGGCGAUCGCCUUGCCGUCGAUGAUCGUCGCCAUUGACGCCGACGAGAGGAAGAGGAGAGAAGAGAGAUCAGUGAGCAGGAGCCACGGGUGGGCGGUGGAGUAUCGAGGAGUUUGCGGUGAAAAAGAUCGGACCCUGGCGGCUCGGUUGGACAUGAACCGGAUGCACUUUGCUCUGCGUGGACUUUGCUUGGAAAUCUACUUAAUUAAUAAUUUUGGGAGGAUUCGUUGGAGCUCAGUUUGCUUUAGUGGCAAACGAGUCAAGUUAGAGAUACGCUUAGCUCAUCCAAGUUUAGCUGUAUUUAGCUCGAGAUAUAAAUAUAUAAGUAGUGUAUAAUUUCAAUUAUUAUUUACUUAUAAUUUUUUUUAUUUAUUUAUUAUAAAUUAUACAGAUUAUUAUAUAUAAUCGAAUAUAUUUUAAUCAUAAUAUUACGAUAUAAUUAAGAUUAUUAAUUCAAAUUAUAUAAAUAAAGUUUUUGAAAACUUUAAGCUCCUCCUAUAUAAAUAAUUCAUAUUCGGCUUAAAAUUGAAUGUGCUUAUUUGAGCUCAACUUAAAAAAUAACCCAGCUGAAUUGCUCAUCUUCAACUCAUUUAUAUGUCUAGAUCUCGAUUUGCAUCAAUGUUAGACACCUUCUGAUACAACAUAUCAUAUAUCUCGAGUAUCUCAUCGAUAUAAAUCAAGGGACCGUAAAAUAUCCGUUGGUAUGAUACUAACUUAUUAACUAUAUUUUUAAUCAUUCCUAUAUUUUUAAAUAUUUUAAAUAUAAAUUUUAAAUUUAGUAUCUUAAUAUGAUUGUCAAUUUUGAAUGUACCUUCUUAGCCAAGAUUUUGAUAUCUUUAUGCUAAAAUUCACUAUUUUUUUAUGUUGAUAGAGAUGAACCAAGAUUUUAUACAUUUUAAUGUUGGCCAUCUACUGAGAUGACCGAAAUCAUGACCUUCAAAAAUUUUAUGUACAAAGGUGCGGUAGCCUAAACAAAUAAGCAUAGGAUAUUCAAAAUAUACAAAUCAAAUAUUCAAUAAACAUGCAUCUAGUAUGUAGUAAAUGUGCAUUGCCCAUCUCAUACUUAAACUUAGGGACAAAAUUUUCCAACUACAUUAUAAAAUUUUUUGUUCUUAAAUAUAGAGCGCUGUAUCGAAAAUAAUUUGUCUAAUGAAAAUAGAUAUCUAUAAAAACAGCUUAAAUUGUAAGGUUAGAUGUGCCUACUUUUGGUAACAACGGCUUGUUGCUUUUCUUAAGAGUUAAUUAUAAUUUUGCAUCAUAUCUAGGUUAGGGACACAAAAGAAACUAGCAGAUUGAUUUAUAAGUAGAAAGAAAGAGCUAUGAGUGUGUUUAGUUCGCAAUUAGAAUCGGAAUCAGAAUAUGCUAGAAUGGAUAUCGGAAUUAUCAUAUCCCCUCAAGUAUUUGGUUCAUGAUUGAAAUCGAAAUCAAAUUUAAAUAUUAAAAAAAAUAGAGAUUAAAUUUUGAAGCAUUGGGGUGAAAUUAGAAUGGGAACAAAACUCACUGCAGUAGCUAGAAUAGAAGCCAUCCCUUCCUAUUCCCAUUUCAGAGUCUAACUCCCCCUAACCAAACACACCUUAAAUGUUUUGCUAAACAUUGUUGACUCAUCUGGUUGGCACCCCUCUCCCAAAGGAUUCCCCCUUGUGGGGAGGUCUAGCUUACGAAUCUUGGUUGGGGUAAAACUACCGUUGUAAUGCUUGAGAAAGAAAAGCUAAAUGUGGCUUUAAGAAGCUAAGAAUGGGUCUGGGCAUUGGAAGGAAGGUGGCUAGGGAUUUCGGAUCGACUCGUCAAUUGCAAAUGUCUAAGGCUUUGAGCCACUGAAGAUGAGGAGAAAAUAUUUAAGCUUGAUUAAGUCUGAAAGUCUAUCUUAAAAAGUUUCACCUGGUUUCUUUCAACCCCCUCCAACAUGAGAACGGGACGUAUUCACAGACAUAAUUAAGGGGGUAGAUAACUGAAUGCGGUGUACCGGUUGGCUUCUACAUUGGUGACAGAAUGGCACGUGUAGAGUGGCUAUAAAGUGGCUUUAAGGUGCCUUGUUGUUAUUCUGAUCGCAAUUCUCGGGCUUUUGUCAUGAUGGAUUCAUGAAAGGCCGGGCUCACCUAGUUGGAACUCUAGAUGGGUUUGGCUGUUAAGGUGUGGUUUCAUGGGUUGAGAUUAAUUGGCCUUGGCCGGUUGGUUUGUAGUGGAGCAUGGUGUUGGCUGGCCAAAUAAAACUCAUAUUUAGCUUGGUGAUGAACAAGUAUUGCACUAACGGAGAUUCACAUUUUGGUUUUGGUGAUGGAUUUGCAUUGGGAUGGAUGUGGAUGAAAAAGGGCAGAGUGACGAGAAAUUGUUUGGGUUCAGAUUUUGGUAUCUGUUACAGGAUUUAGGUAAUUAGGUUCAGUCACUCAAGUUAUACUUUAUAGUUUAGACCAAGAGGUAUCGUACCAUUUGGUUCUGGUGCAUACCAAUUAUACCAUAUUAUAUUGGUUUGUGGUAUUAAGGGCAUGCUAAGUAUUGGUAUGCCCAACCAGCUUUGUACCAGGCAAAACAAUAUAGUAAUAAAUUGGUACCAAUAUAAGAUAGAAUCUUGGAAAUUUUGAAACCCGAUCACCUGGCCAGCUUUGAAUUGAGAUGGGCAAACUCAUUACCGGCUUCAAUUCGAAUUUUGAAUAAAAAGAAAAAAUUAGGAUCAAAACAAGGGGGAUCUCGAUUCCUUGCCCAAUCCCCAUCAUUUGAUGAUAAAACUACCCAACGAUGGCCGGUGUGAGAUCUCCGGACUAUUACAAUUUGUCGAGGCCGUUGGAGGCCAAUGCAACCGACGAACAGUCAGUGUUAGGCCAGACUUAUCUUUUUGUGGCCGUAUCCUACCUCCUCCCCUGCAAUUGGCAUCAUCGAGCACUCUCAUUUCUCUUCCAUUCCUUCUUCUUCUCUAACAGCUAACGAGCCGUCUUAGCCCAAGUUUGGCUACCCAAAACCCCCAUUUCUCUCUCUUUCUCUUGCCCCUCUCUCUCUCUUGCUCUGUUUUAAUUUGGUUUCUUGCCUUUUGAACCAUCGAAGCUCACUUUUGUCGAUUAAGAUUUGCCGCCUCUGUUGAUCGCCAGUGAGUCUUCUUUCCUCACCCUCCAUUAUUUUCCUUGAUUGGAGCCUAAUUUUCCCAUUUCUAGCUGAUCAAACACUCGAUUCUGAGUGUUUUCUUUGGUUUGGCCACUGCCUCAUCCACCAACCGCAAAGCCCCUCAUCUCCCUCUUCUCUCCUCUUUCCUUUUUCUUUCCCUCUUCUCCUUCUCUCAUUUUUAUCUUCUUCUUCUAAUUUUCUUUCUUUUCUUUCUAUUUUUUUAUUUAUUAUUUAUUAUAAAUUCAAAUUAUUCUCUCUCAUCUGAUUCUUACAUUGAAUAUCAUGAUCAUUAAUGAAUCAGACUCAGACUCUAAUCUUAUCC
rnacentral:lncRNA from 1 species